CCACUCGAAUAUUCCCUAGACGCGCGCCACGAUUAUAUUGUAGAUGCUUGCUGCACUUACGACGCGCCAGGCAAGCAUAUACUCAGCAGAUUGGCAUUAGUCUCCGGGGGAAGCUGCAUGUAUCGCACAUCGUCUUUCUCAUCUGAUCCUCGUGAUUAAUUACCCAAAGUCGUCUUAGCUUUAAUUGUUCGCACUGAUCUGCUAGCCGUUCCUAACUAUAUGUGAUUUGAUUUAUUCCUAUUUUUCAACAGCGUUAUCACACGUUAAGGACUCGUUAGGUUGCUCCCUGCCAGUCAGCUGCUAGCCUCUGCUAGCGACCACGCAGCACCAUCCAACCCCAUGCUGUCAAAAUCCAACGUGUGAGAUUGUUGCCUGAGCCUAGCAGCUUUCUCAGGAUCUAAGAAAUAUUGUUGGUCAGAGUUAAGAGUGUUCGAUUUAACAGAUCUAAACGUUGCUAUAGUAUAGGAUAGGGAGAGUAUUCACUUUGCUGUGUCUCACGGAGAGGAAAUUUACUCAUCAAAUCUAGUGUAUCUUCUCUUUUUGCUGCUGUUGAAUUCAAGGCGGUGGUGGGGUGGGUCGUCGCUUUCUCCCCUUUCUGAUUUUGGAGAAGGAACUGCUAAACAAACACGGGCUGCAUAUGUUAAAAUUCAUUCAUGCAUUUAUUAAUUUAUUUAUGCAUGCACCGCGCGUCUAUUUUCUUAAUUCAAGAAGGGAACCGUAUACUCCAUGCAUCGCCUUUUUUUUUCCUUUCAAACAUGCAUAGGCCCUAAAAUGACUUUGUAUAUAUGUGUACAAUCUAUACCUAAUAUUAAAUAGCGGAUGUUUCUUCCGGCCGUCAUUCUUUUUCAACCGUCAUGAUUAUUUUGCAAAAAAUCCUCAAUCCGCGGUCCAAAUUUUAAAGAGAGGGGAGAUCGGGUGGAAAAAGGAGGGAAGGGAGGGGGGUAAGAGCAAUUUUAAGAGUUCCCCAAAAACUUCUUCCCCAAAACGAGGUAUUGGGAGCUAUGCUAAAAAAAUUUUCCCCCAAAAAUAUAUUAGACCACAGCAGAACGCUAAAAACUAUCCCUCAAUAAUUUAAAAAAAGGCCACAUCAUCAUAAUUUGGCCAAUAUACUUGGCCUGCCCACCUUUCGACCCAUGACACCGGGCGUCCGGAGUCCUUCUCCGGGUGCAGCGCCAUGCACCGGACCUCCUCAACCCCUUCUGUUUUGAGUAGUGUUGUUUGAGCUUUCAAGGGAUCUACAUAGAAAAGGAAACAAAAUGCAGAACAACGUUUGUACUUGGAUUAUCUGUUAGCAGUAUAGCCGAGUUGAUAUUAGUGAAGUUCAAGGUACGUAGAAUCCAAACUCUUAUAGCACUAUAAUUACCAACAAUCUUCAAGAAUUAUGAGCACUACAACAUGUAAUAUGGGAGCAGGAAUAGUUCAGUAGCUGAGUCCCUGUAAACACCCAUUCACCACUACAGUGUUUUUAUACUAAUUCAAGAAUUUCUGUUGCUAGAAAGAAUGUCUCUCCAACUCUCCAAACACUAAAAUUGGAAUGCUGUAGAGAUCGAAGCCUUUCAGCUUUACUUGUCCGAAAGUCUCUUCAUACUUCACCAUAGCUAUCUUCAGUGUGUCUUUGUCGCAGUGCCUGAAUACAAGCUCCAUGGGCAUUCUGGAGCUUUGUGCUUCUACUCUAUCUCCUCGAACCUGAAGUGAAUACAAAUAUGAGGUGAGUAUUAUGCAACUGUAAGAAUGGGAAGUUUCUAAAGUUGAACUGAGAAAUUAAGAACUUAUGCAGAAAAAAGAAAGAAAAAUUGAACAGCGGUGUAAGGCUAAAAUCUGUCUGAAAAAUUGACCGCGUGCUUCAGGCGCCACCGGAGCGCAGCAGGUGAGGAGCCGUCGUCGUCGUCGAGCACUCAGACCUUGAGUUGCACGCCGUCGCUAGCCACGUAGUGCAGGCGCCCGCCGUAGUGCGCGAGGCGCGCAUCGCCGCCGCCCGCCGCCGGCGCUGCCGCCCCGCUGCUCGCCCUAUCGGAUCUUGAAGCUACAGCUACAUCAAAGCUCAGUAGAUCUUGAAGCUCAGCAGAUCUUGAAGCUCCGGAUGGACACCACUAGCAGCCGUCAGCCGCCAUCCUUCUUCCGUGCGUCGUGGCCGCUCUUCCCAUCGGCUACCCUCCUCGCGGCCGCCACUCUCGCCGCCGCGCAGCUGUGGUCCGCCGGGAACCGAUGCUUGAGGCAUACCUUGAGGCCGCACCCCUUGCACUGCAUCGUGUUGCAGAAGGUGAGCGCCUCCUUGCACCGCGGCGCGGGGCACUGCGGCUUGCGCUUCCCUCGCCGGGUUGCAGCUGCCCAACUGCACGUGUGCGUCCAGGAUGUCAGCCUGCCCUAGUGCCGCCCGCUCGACGGAGUCGCCGCAGUCCGGGCACAGCACGACGGGAAAAAACGCGCGCGGGGAAGGGGAGGGAGGCGGAUUGGGGAAGAGCGGCCGACGCGAAUAUAUGCGGGGCGGGCGGUGUUUUUUUUCGCGUUGCUAAUAUUUUGGGAGUUUUAGGUAGACUGUUGGAGUUCUUUUUUUCCUAAAGGAGGUAUUGAGGAUAAAAUUAGCAGUCUUUUAGAGUUGCUCUAACACAAAAAAUCUUCUCCUUCCUUCAAAACAGAGAGGCGGAUUACGCGCGGGUGGCGGCUGGAGCGGGGUGCCCUGCCGCUGCCCCGAGCUGCCCCUGCGCGUAGCCUCGACGGCGAGGUUGGCCGGGCGCUUGGUGGUGCGGGCCGGCGGGGGCAGGAAGGAGGGGGUGGAGAAUGAAUACAAGGCUUGCGGGCGGCGACGCUGGGGCACGGGCCGACGGCGUGCGCUGAGGAGCAGACUCGAGGGGACCGACGGCAUGGACGAGGCCGGCCGGCCUGGGGCGUAUGGCGACGAUGGGGCGCGACGGAGGUGUGAUCCGCCGUGCGGAGCAGAGGAGUGGGCAGCGGCUAGUAGUGGGGGCCAGCGGGCUGGCGGCGCUGGGGCGUGAGGCGGAGGGAGGGGGUGUUGGGGCCGUGGGACGUGAGGCGGAGGGAGGCGGUGGUGGGGCCAGCGAACUACGACGCCUGGAGCGGAAGCAGUUGGGGCUGGUGGAGGGAGGAAGCUCCGGAGGUGGCGGUGGAGCAGAGACGCUAGCGGUGGACUGCCUCCUCUCCUCCCUUCGUAGCGCCGCCCUACCGUCUCUCCCUCGCGUGCGUCCUCUACGAUGCUCUUCUCAGUGCUCCCAGUUAGGGAGAUGGCAGCGCAAGGGCGAGAUGCAGCACGACUGCAGCAUCUCCUCACAUCCAUGGGCCCCUCACCUCCCAGAGCCCUCCCUUUUAGGUUAUCGUAGAGCCCUCCCUUUCAGGUUAUCGCAGAGCCCUCAAUUUGAUGCAUCCAUAGAUUCAUUUGGUUGAUCUGCAGUUCGAUUUUGUGAAUAUGUAUUCCGUUUUGGUUUGUUUUGUUUCGAUUUGGUCAUUGUAGGUGCUUGAUUUGGUGAUGAGAAAGCUGAUUCGUCAAGUUUAUCCUGGGACAAUAAGAUUUAUCAGGUGAACUAAGGGUAUCAGGAUGAGCCUACCAUGGAGAAAGCUCAUAGGUCCAUGCCCUUCCUUCUACUUCAGCUCUGAUGCACACCAGUUGCUUGUUGUAUUGCCUGGACAAAAGAUUGACUACCUAUUUCUUGUUUUAACUGCUUUUUUUGUGUUAAGCAAAUUCCGGUACCGAUAUUUUCUGCAUUUGCAAAGUUCACUUGAGUUCAGCAAUUUAUCUAUGCCUGAUGCAUAAGAGCAGCAAUGUAAGGUAGAACAAGUGACUGCAUCUAGAUCAGCGGUGUGCAAAGUGGUGACCUGUGGAGACACAAUUGCAACUGUUGCAAGAUCAAUAUCCCCUGCAUUGUCUUCUAUAGACAGAAACAAAGUUGUUUCCAGCUAUGACAAGGUGAAAGUGAUAUAUGAACCAGAGAAAAAUAAGUUCCUGGCUAUACAGGCUUCCACAAUAAGGUGUAGCAUAUUUCCUACUACAAUUUUGAAGCAUAACUAUGAGAGAAAGUUAUAGUUGAGAAAAAAGAACAUAAGCAAAAAUACUAAAUGUUAAAGAGAUCAGUAAGAAGUAACAUGCUUUAAUAGAGGAACUAUCUUUGGAAUAACUUAUUUCCACUUUUCAGAUUAGAUAGAACAACUGCUGCUUUCAAUGAACAGAAGGCAAUGCUGUGCUGCCAAUUAAGUUGCCUGGUGAUGUUUCUAACAUGCAUUCUAUACUAUCUGUCAUUUAGAUUUCAGGCUGCUGUCGUAUCUAGUUUGUUACUGUAUUUUCUACCAAUCAAGUUGCUAUGUUUUUUCAUGUUUCCCUCCUAGAUCUUUAUUUUUACUUGCGGUGUGAUGCUGCCAAUAGUGAGUUCAUGUGUCACAAACAGUUGCUACGGGAUAGGUGGUUCCCAAGGUAACAAAUUUGGUGUUAACUGGUUAUAUAUGUAGGAAUGAUGUACUGCGCUCCACUAGAGAAGCCGCAGCCAGAGCCAUUUCAACCACAGUCAUAGUACUGUCAAACGAGCCCUAUGUACUUAGAAAAAUUAAAACGACCUACAAUUUGAAAUGAAAGGAGUACUCGUACUUUACACCUCCACAAUUUGUUUAACCUACUACUGACUUGGUGUUUGUUCCCGUUGCAACAUACGGGCAUAUUUGCUAGUAUUGAAGUAAGUGCGGUUAUUUCUUCCAACCGUCGUGGUUGUUUUGAAAAAAAACUCUUAACUUUUUCAUAAUCAAUCCGCAAUCCUUGUAUAUGGAAAAAGAAAACAGGAGGUCGAUGGGAUCCCGUCUACACGCACACGCUCAACUUCCUACGCGGCUCCGGACAUGGCAAGAAAUCGAUCCGAACACGAAGCAGAAAAGGCAGAGAGGAUUCAAGAUAUAAAAUCGACAGGGAACCAUCAUCAAGAAUAGGUUGAGCGAAUCCGCGCACCAUGAAAGAGAACAAGGCAGGGAGGUCAAUGCGCCGAAACGAGUUCGCUCGUGGGGCUGCUCGCCAUCGCAGCGCGAGCGUCUGCCCGUCCACCGCACCGGGCCAUGGCCCCGAGGCGGCGAGGUGCCUCUACACGCCUCGGCGCAGACCACGGGUGUGCCAAUGACAGCACCACGCCUCCGCUCUGCCGCACGAGGCGCUCAACUGUCGGACUGCCAUGCUUCCGUUGCCUACUACCAGGCCGACGAGCACUGGAGCACAAUGCGGCGGCGAGAAGAAUUUGGAGCUGCCUGUGUAUGGUUGUCAAUCUGCAGUUGAUUGCGACUUGGCUGAUUUGGUUGCUCGAUGGCAAAUACAACGAAGUGAAGUAUCAGACUAUCAGAGGGAAGAAAGAUUUUGCUUGCCUGAUCCGAUUUCUCGAUGGGUAUUUUGAUGGUGCUUGUGUGUUGCCGCUACCUGAAGAAGGGAAUAAAGGUGCUGACUUUGCUGUCACCUCUACGUGAAUAAGAAUAAAGCUGCAGCCACCGCCACGAACAGAACUCCAGUAGCCGCCAUGGACCUGCAGCUCGUGCCCCGCCCCUAAACGGCUCUGCCUCCCUGCCUUCUGCGCUCCAUCCGGCAUGCCAUCACCGGCCGCCACACAGAGGCCCUCAACCUGCUCCGCCUCGCCCGCACGGCGCUCCCCUUCUGCCCUCACCUACCACAACGCAGCCGUGGCGCUGUGUGAGCCCGGCGUAGCCACGGAGGUGGCAUGUGCCGGCAGUGUGACGGAAGGGAGGUGAGGUGGGUGGCACCUUGUAGAUGUAGCACUAGCCAUCCCGCAAGCAGCACCAGCAGUUUGGCCUUCGCUGGUACCGGCACCUUGCUCGCUGCCGCCGGUCAUGAUGGUGGUGGCCUGGAGCCCUGGAAGCUUGUAGAAGAUGAAUCGUGUGGUCCAUCCGAUACAAUCAGAAAGGAAAGGCUUGGCAGUUUAUAUGAAAGCACUCAUAGUUCAUGUAAAUGAACUACGGCACCUAUUGUAUAGAAAAAUCUUGAAAAAGAUCCUAGCUUUCUCAGUAUUGUUGUAGUGUUGUGCAAGCCUGCAACACACAGUAUUUAUAUGUCAUUCUCUUGUCAUAUAAAUUAAAAUCUAGCACUAGAUAAAUGGUACACAAAGUUAUGCAAUAACAAUAUUUAUACAAAUAUAGAGUUAUUUGAAUAAUUAUUUUAUAUUUUAUAUUUUUCUCCCGUUGCGGCGCACAGGCUUAUUUGCUAGUUAAAACAUAAGUGUGACAAAAGCGCACCUCUUCGAAAAAUAUAUAAUGUUCUCGAAUCACUUUUUGUGGCGUACCUCCAUAGUUUAAAUGUGGGAAAUGUGUAAAGUUUUCUAUAUUAUAUGCAUCUUUGUAUAAUAAUAAAACUAAAAGAAAAUUGCAUGAUCGACGAUUAGGAGAAGACAGAGAGAGAACUAGCUAGUAAAUGACGAUUUUCUUUCUCAACGCCCCACUUCUUUGCAAAUUUUGUCAAUGUCACAGCUGAAUAGCUUUUUCUUUUUUUGAGCAUCGUCACAGCUGAAUAGCUGAUGACAUGUGCCGCAGAGUUGAAAGUUUGCGUCGGCGUUGGUAUAUGGCCAUAUUGGGCCGGCUAGCACCCAACUGCGGCUCAUCGAGUUGCUUUCUUACGAGUGGCCCAGGUCCAUUCAAAACAGCCCACGGAGAGAAGGGUGCCGCGCAAUGUUGUGGGCGUUCGGUUGUUCCUCCACGCUCCUCUCCUCAGCCCCCGCCGCCGCCCGCCAUCCUGCUCCGGCGCAGUGGAGCGCCGCUUGCCCAUCUGCUUCGCCUUCAUCUUCAUCCUCUCCUCUUUGAUCCAUAGCCAGUCCACCUUUUGCUUACCUUUUCUCCACCGUGGUACACUGGUGCUUGUUAAUUAGGCGUGCGUUUGACGCCAUCUCGGCUUUGAAGUCACCGAUCGCUGCGGCUCAACGCUUCAAGGAAGAUCGAUCGGUGGCAGGACGGGACGCGCAAUCUUCUUGGAGAGUUGAACGUGUGAGUUCACGAUCGAAUCGAGGAUAAGCGUCUCGCGGCAGUUCCUGAAUCUGGUCGUGGACCACGGCUUCCCUGGCGUCAGAUCACUCUGCUGCGUCGACCUGACGAUCCAGCAAUUCUUCCAUCCUACAACACCUCCGCAGCCACCGAAUGGCGCCGGAUCAGAAUCACAAGGUCCGCCGGACGCUACCCCUGAGUCACCGGCGGCCGGCGCAGCUGAUCAUCUGAAGAAUAUACAGGCGGCGGCGGCGGCUGCCGGCUUAAUGACGGACAGCUUUCCGCUUCCCGACCCGAGCUUCACCUUCCGAGCUCCAGCUCCAUCUCUCAGCGACGAUGACGAACGGUGGAAGAUCGACUGCUUCCCGCUUGCGGGUUGCGCGGUGAUCUGCGUGGACCAGCUGGGGCACGCCUUCCGCUUCGACGCGCGGACGCGCCUGGCGGCGACCAUGCACAGCCUCCACAGGCCCAAAUCCACGCCCUUGUCCCUCUUCGUCCCCAACGCCGGCGCCGACGCCGACUUCAAACUUAACCGCAACCCCCUGGGCAGCAGCCUUUUCGUCAUGGAGAAGAUCCCCAAGCCAGAGCUUGGCUGCGGCGCGGCGCGCCGCACAGCGACCAAUUCGAAGCCUUCGAUCGUCUACCGCAAGCCCAGAUCGGCAGCCUACCUCAAGGCCUAGCACUGCCACCUCCUCCCGCCGCCGCCGUUCGUCCGUGAGCCCAGGUACUGGCACGGUGGCCGCAACCCUCCGGAGAUCGGCUCCUACGCUGUGGUCGGCGGCGGCACCCACGUCUGCAUAUCCGUCGACGGCGUCGGCACCUACUGCCUCGACACGGCAAGCCACACGUGGAGUGAAGUCGGCGAGUGGACACUGCCAUUCCACGGCAGGGUUGAGUAUGUGCCCGAGCUCAAGCUCUGGUUUGGCCUCUCCGCCGAGACCCGGCAAAUGGCUGCGGCCGACCUCUCCACCAUGGACUCGCAGCCAUAGCUGGUGGGCGCUUGGAAGGAGCUUUGCCUGCCAGAGCAAUGGAAGGAGUGCAAGGACCCUCAACUUGUCAACCUGGGCUCAGGCAGGUUCUGCAUCGCAAGGUUCUUCCCAACUACGACAGCGGACGGCCUUGGCGAUGGAUCAUCUGGUACGACCGCGUGUCAAAGAUGUCGAUGGCAAUGGCGGCGAUGGGAAAGUGGAACUCGGAGUGAUCCCUCACAAAUCAAGACGUGUCAAUGGCGCUAGCAUAGAGGCAUUGUUCUGAAAACUUUUGAGGCUUUGCUUUUCAAGACUCCUUGUUUUGUCCAUCAUGCAGAGUUUAAAGGAAUUUGGGACUCUGAUGAGGGUGACAACUCGGCAUCUUUUCUAGUUUUUGGAUUUGACAUGAAGGUCUCCCUGCAUUCUAUAUUUUCUACGUAUUGUUGUAUUGUCUCGUGUGAAUUGUGAUGGUAGAUUCAGAAUUAUCUUGCCAUUUAUUUGCAAAUAUUGAUCAUACAUUGUCUUCUUCAGUGAUAAGUUACACUGCCUGGAGGCAAGCAAGUUCAACCACUCGUAGUACAGAGGAAUGGUUGUCCAUCAUGCAGAGUUUAAAGGAAUUUGGGACUCUGAUGAGGGUGACAACUCGGCAUCUUUUCUAGUUUUAGGAUUUUACAUGAAGGUCUCCCUGCAUUCUAUGUUUUCUACGUAUUGCUGUAUUGUCUCGUGUGAAUUGUGGUGGUAUAUUCAGAAUUAUCUUGCCAUUUAUUUGCAAAUAUUGAUCAUACAUUGUCUUCUUCAGUGAUAAGUUACACUGCCUGGAGGCAAGCAAGUUCAACCACUCGUAGUACAGAGGAAUGGUUGUCCAUCAUGCAGAGUUUAAAGGAAUUUGGGACUCUGAUGAGGGUGACAACUCGGCAUCUUUUCUAGUUUUAGGAUUUGACAUGACGGUCUCCCUGCAUUCCAUGUUUUCUACGUAUUGUUGUAUUGUCUCGUGUGAAUUGUGAUGGUAAAUUCAGAAUUAUCUUGCCAUUUAUUUGCAAAUAUUGAUCAUACAUUAUCUUCUUCAGUGAUAAGUUACACUGCCUGGAGGCAAGCAAGCUCAACCACUCGUAGUACAGAGGAAUGGCCGAACGGUGGCACCAAUCACAAAUCUUUUAACUCAGGAACAGCAGAAAAUCAACGAAAGUGAUAAUGCCCAGCGAAUGCUUACAGUGAAACUAGCAUUUCAUGGCUAAUAACGACAUUGUUCACAACAUCAAUACAACAUAAAAUCCCAGCACCUCCGCAAGGGUGAGGAUCAGCUCCGGGACUAACCGAAAUCUAGGAAAUAGUACUGACAAUGGGCAUUCACGGUGAAGGCGAAAACACUGGCCCAGAUACAGUAAGUCGUUGGAUGGAUAUAUUUGCAAUUUUGAUAUAGUUUAACCUUGCAGGGCCCUCGAGUUUUCACGUAGUUUAACCUUGUAUGGCACAGCGUUCUCCCCUCAGCUUGGACCUCCAUCAUUAGUAUGUGUGGUGUAGAGGAAGUCACAGAGUCCACUAGUCUUCUAUAUGCAGGUCUAGAUGUAUGAAGCUGUUGGACGACGAGGAAGAUGGCAGUUUGUUGGCCAUGUUCACUUAAAGGGUGCGAAGAGAAUUGAUGAGUUGUGCCCACCAAAUCCGAAUGAGUUGGAUAGGGCCACAUUCACUUCACAUCUCUCCUUCUUCGGUCCUACCAAAACACCCACAUCCUGUAUCAAGAUCAACAUUAAAACAUUAAUAUUAGCUCCAUAUUGAGUUGAUAAUUAUCUGGGCACCAUUCAACUUAUAGAUUUCCUGUAGAUUUUGCUCAACUUAUAGAUUUACUGUAAAUCUUUCAUAUAUAACUUCUUUAGUAGAAGUAGAAAGCAGAUAAGAUGACAUUAAAUCCUGCAUCACUAAAGGAGCUUACCACAACGUCCUCUGGAUUUUCUAAAUUCAGAUUUGGAUGGACCCAACCAGUUCUUAUAGCCUGCAAUGAACAACGAAGAGGAAUUCCCCAUGAUGAGCCCACCAUGCUUGCAUUGAAAGCCAAAAACACCGAAACAGCAGUUGUGGUAAAUGGUAACGAAGUGUUCAUGGCUAUGAGAAUAAACCCGAACGCCUCAUGUUCAUUGCAAAAGCACCAUUGUGCCCGUGAUAUAAUAUUUACUACACUUGGUUUAGUAUAACUGGAGUAAUAUUCAAAUGGCCAAUGCCUGAAUCUUGUAGAAAAGUACGAGGAAACUGGAUCAAACAAAAGCUGCUGCUUAAAGAUAAAUAAAUAGGAGUAAGAAAAGGAUAUAUGUGUGUAAAUAAUUUCAUCCAGACUGCCACAAUGCAACUUACAAACAAGCAGAUGUAGUUGACGAUCAUUUUAGAAUAACUUAGCUUCAGUGCCAUUACAUAAAGCAAAUAUUUCAAUUGAAGUUUAAUAUUAAGUGAUGUGCUUAUUUUCCAAGGGAAAAAAAUUGUAACAGGUAUGUGCCAAUUUUCAGUUACAGAGUUUUUGUCUUCCAACAAAUUACCAAGCGCACUGGAAACCGGUACACUGGAUAUACAGAAAGAUACAAUGUAAAUGGAGAAUUCAACACCAUAAAUGCAUAGUUCAUACUCAGUGAAGUAAAAUUUGCAUUAGUAUAAUACAAUAAUACAAAGUAAAUAUGGCCCCCACAAGAGUACUAAGAAUUCCUUACUUGUAUAGAAGCAACUGCUUCAAUUCCACCGGCUGCUCCUAUAAGAUGGCCAGUCAUUGAUUUUGUUGAGUUCACCCUUAGCUGCAUCCAUCAAAAAAAAAGAUUAACAUAAUUUACUCUAUAAAACUGUUAUAAAAUUGCUCGCAUCAGGUGGCAUACUUGAGGAUUCUGGCCGAAACAACGUACGAUAGCCUCGUACUCCUUCAAGUCACCCGAUUGUGUAGACGUUGCAUGAGCAUUCACAUAGUUGAUUUCUUCACUUGCUACCCCAGCAUCAGCUAGUGCCUUUUCGAUGCAGAGAGUAAUCCCUCUUCCUGAUAUUGAAUUAAUGAAAAUGCUAGAAUUAGAUGGUCCCAUUAGAUUUAGGUAGGAAAAGAACAGGAAAGAGCAUGGUGGUCAAGAUAUACUCUUCACCUUCAGGAUGUGGCUCAGUCAUGUGGUAAGCAUCACAUGUAAAGCUUCCACCAAGAAAUUCAGCAUAUAUUUUUGCACCUCUUUCCUGAAAGAACAUGCACUGAUCUCAGGAUACAUUUGAAAAUAAUCACAUCAUCAAGCUGGAAACAAACAACAGAAGGAUAUAGGGACAGCAGAAAUUGUAUGUUUAAAACCUUAGCAUGCUCAAGUUCCUCCAGAACGAGAACACCAGCCCCUUCCCCCAUAACAAAACCAUCACGGUCCUGCACCAUGAAAGAUAAAUCACCUCACACUAGCACAACAAAUGUACCAAGCCAGAAAGUUAUUUAAACCAACAUGGUGCUGAUGUGCUUGUACAGAAUUAUGGUAAUUAUUGCCAGCCAGCAACAUUUGUCAAGAAACGGGCCACUUGAAAAAAAUCGGUAGAGAGAAUGCACAUGAAGUAAAUCAUUUAACUACUAUGAAUCUAUGAUAAUCUAAGGUACACAACAAAAUAUACAAACCAUGUCCCAGGGCCGGGAAGCUUUUGUUGGAUCACUGUUUCUCUGUGAAAGAGCCCUGCAGGCCACAAAACCUCCCAAUCCUGCAUGGCAUGUGGUUAAAAUAAUUGUGUCUACAAAGAUCAAGAUAAACUACAGAAAUGAGUCUGAAGAACGAGGAAUUGUGGCCACGAACCAAUUGGGAUAAGAGGUGCAUCAGAACCACCACAGAGCAUAACAUCCUAGAAAAACGUGAAUAAGGUCACAAACAAGAAGUUACUUGUCGAAGAUAACAUGGAAGGUUGAAGUUACUUACAGCUUCCCCUCUUCUGAUGUGGUUUGCUGCAUUGAGGAUACAGAAGUUACUGGUAGCACAGGCAGUGGAAAUAGAAUAGUUUGGUCCCAUCCAUCCCUGUAAAUCACAGAAAGUAUGAGCUGUGGUAAUCGCUGUUAUCCACAUAUAAAAUUAUACAAAAGAAUGAAAGGAGAGAUCAUGUUGCACCAGAUCCAUUGCAAGGAUUGCAGAGCCCAUGUUUGUAGUUGCAAAAGGAACACAAAACGGGUUCAUUUUCUUGUAAGAGACCCUCAGUGCUUCAAUCGCAUCAUUAAAAACCUGCAUGACAGUCCAUCAUCUUGUAUGAGAUAAUUGGAAAUAGGUAUCCGUGGAUAAUUAGAAUUCAUUGAGAAUACAAACCUUCAUGCCACCCAUUGCAGAACCAAUGAGAACACCACAUCUGGUUUUGUCCAACUCAUUCCUGAGUUCUUCAGUGAGUCCACCAUUUUCUAAUGCCUUUUUUCCAGCAGUUAUCAAAUAUAACAUAAACUUGUCCAUCCGCUUGGCAAGCUUAGGUGCGACCCAACCAUCAGUAGAAAAGGAUUUUAUCUCUCCUGCAAUUCUCUGUAUUGUGGUCCAACUAUCAACCAUUGCAUGAUAAUAUUGACCAAAUUGCAAAACCAGUCCCAACACCACACCCCAAAAAUUGAAGAAAAUCAUGUGCUCUGUAUUACCGUGGGGAAGUUGGAGCAGUCGAACCUCUCUAUCUCACUGAUUCCACUAACACCAUCAAGAAGGUUGUUGUAAAACACGUCGGGAUCAUGGCCCAAUGGUGUCACUACACCCAUGCCAGUGACGACCACCCUCCUUUGUUUGAUAUCAGGUUUCUUCUUUUCGAUAACAUUUCUUUCAGCUUGCAAGGCAACAGACAUGGCCAUUCCUGCAAACCACAACCAAUUUUGUUGAGGACCUUAUCUGCUUGAGUGACAAACAAAUAGCAGCCUGAAGAUGUCUGAACAAACAUGCACGCAGGGGGAAAAAACUAAAGAAUAUGUUUGCUUGAUGCAAAAUAGGGCAUAAUAAAUGUGACUCUUCUUGUAAGAUGUAUUUUUAGCAUUUUGGAGUCUUCCACACCCACCCUUUCUAUUUUAUACAGGAAUGAGCAACGCCCAUUGUAUCUCAAUUUUCAAGUCAAAACUCUGUGCUACUAACAAAGGAAAUGCAAACAAGCAGAGCCAGACAAGCUGAAAGAAAAUAAUGUUGAAAUCACCAGUUCAGCAGUAGCCACAAGCAAAUGCAUCCCAAGCAGAAGCAGGGGAACCUGACAGCGAGGCCAAAACCCGGAGCAGACUAACCUAGUACAACUCACUACACCAAGAUAUAAGAAUCAAAUAUCCUCAGAACAAUCCAAGGAAUAAUCCUACUCCACACGCAUUACGCAUCGCAAACGCAUAAUGUAACACCCGGAACAGGAUAAAAAUGGCACAUUUACCCCGGGCGAUACAACCGAUGCUCUGAGAUUACACCAGGAUACGAACGUACGGUCAUGCAAGGAUCCAGCAAAGCGAACAAAGGACAUGCGGCAACCAAAUGCUGAGUGUCAGAGUGUCUCAUCUUACCGGAGCGCGCCGCGCCACGCCGCCGCGCGCCGAGGCGGCGGCGCUCACGGCCCUGACCGAACAUGACGCCGCCCCCAGCGCCGCUUCCGCCAGGGCAGCAAUGCUUCUGCUUGUGCUCGUCGGCGUCGCAUGCCGCGGACAAGCACGCGGCGACGAGCCACGUGCAGAGUGGGCCCGUCACGGCCGCCAUUGCCCGUCCCCUGGUGUGUGUGUGGCUCCCGCUCACCGCCUGCUGGAUCCCGCCCACAAAGAGCGGCCGCACGGGUCACUCGGAUUCAGCGGCGCGGGCAACCGGGGCGCGCGCCAGUCCAAGAACGGCGGAGGGCAAGAACCCGGAGCACGACGAGAUGCGGGGGGCGACCGGGCGAUGUCUCGGGGGCGAAGAAAACGAACGAGGCGGGAGAAUGGAGCAAGCGGAGGAGGCGCGUCGAUCUCACGAGGAGAGGAGGAGGCUGGCGCGCAUCGGAAGGGCGUGGGCGGGAGCCGCCAUUGGCAGUGCCAACUGUUCGUCGGGAGGAGUGGAGGGACGGGGACGACUGGAGGAGGAGGGGGUUGGGGAGUAAUAUAGGAGGAGGAGAAAAAUGGGAGAUUUUUGGGUGAAUUUUUUUAAAAAAAUUCUAUAAUUCUUUUCCACUAUUUCUCUCAGCACUUUUGUCCUGUUUGAGCCCCCUUGUGAUUUAUUAUUAUUUUUAUUCCUUAGGUGGGCCCCAUUUGAUUUGAUACUGAGAUGUUUAGAGAGACUAGUCACUUAAGUCCGGUGGGGAUGGGAUCAUAAAAUAGAAUAAUGUGGUUUUAAGAGGGAAGGAGCUUGGGGAUUUGUUUCCUCCUGAGUGAUUUCUUUUAUUUUAAGUUUUGGUUUUGGGUUUGGUUGGUGAGACUAGAGAGAGACCGUGGGUGUGCAUGUGUAGGAGAGAGAGGGAAAGUUUUGUUUUCUUCUUUAUAUUAUUUUUUUUGAAAGCAAAACAAUAUUCUUCUUUAUAUUAUUAAGUACUUAAGUUAUUUUGGAGGGAGGGUGAAGACAGUUAUUUUGGAAUUUGAUGCCAAGCAUUUUGGCACAGCUCUAGCCUCACACAAGAGAGAUGAGAUUUGGGGCGACAGUGACACUGGACUCAUGGGUAAGUAAAGGGUAGAGGUGCCAAUUUGCUGGAUCCUUGGACAGGCUAAAAUAAUAAAUAAUAUUGUUUUUACCGUAUGGAGAUUUUGGUGCACAAAACCCGUUUGACUCAUCUACGCAUGAAAUUAUAGUUUGAGAUAAAUUUGUGUGAAAGCUUUGGAGAAUUUACUUCUAAAACUUAUAUGGCCGCGUAUAAAGCUUGAAGUUCAUAUUCAGCAUGAACUGAGAGCAACAAGGUGAGAAACUUUUUUUUUUAAAAAAAAAGAGUAAGGUGAGAAACUUGUGAGAAGUGAUAAAUGGGAAACGAAAGGAUGUUGCUAUUCAAAAAAAAUUAUAAUAUUAUCUACUCUGUAACAUUUUGAGUUUGGACUUCAAAUCUGAAAGGUUUAUCAACACGUCUCUCUCGCAGCAUCCAGGUAAUACACGCACAUGCUCAACGCAUGGGCUGCUACGGCCUGCUCGCUUUGCUGGUGGGCUGGUGACUUGUUUUAAAGUCGUCUGCUGUCUUGAAUAGCCAAAGUGCGCCUGUCAAUCUGGACCAUCUGGUGUCAUAUGGAACGUUUGAUUUGCCAGGUUUUCUAACGAACCGUCCAUCAGACGCGGGCCGCGCGGUGCCAUCAGCCCAGACCGGCCCAGACGGGCCAGGUGCCCAGGUCUCGUCGGUCUCCAGCCGGAAACGUGUGGCAUCGUACGUGCCGUGCGCUCCCGGCGCCCGCCGCCCCGCGUUCACGUCGGUCCAAUCGCACGGUCCCGGGUGAAGUGAACCGCCGCCGGUUCGAGGCUGUGGUGAGAGAGCCGGCCGGCCAGGUUCUAGAAUCUAGACCUACAUGCAUGCCCGCUCAAGCUUCGUCUCUCGGUGGUAUAGCCACGGACCGACCGAUUUUUUUUUCUCUUGGUGACCAUGCGAAAUGUUCUUCAUGAGUGCUUCACAUAUGCAUGCCAUGUUUGAUAGGAGUCCUGUUCGGAAACGAAUGGUUCUUAUUCCUCGGAGUUAUGAGAUUUCUCGUCUUGUGAUUGCAAUGUUUUCUACGAGGAAUAAGAUCAAUGAAGACGUCUUAAUGAGAGUUCGAUGCAUAAAAGGUGCAAUGUUUUGACACCUUCCACGUGAAGUGUCUACUAGAUCAUGUGCAUGAACCAAGGACCAAGGUACAUAUCAAAGAUAUUUAGAUGUAUUAUAUUGCUGAGACUUUUAGUACACCUUGGUAAAUAAGUUAGGCUCCCAAUUGUAUAUGGAACUUUUCCCCCCUAAUUUCCUCCUCAUCCCAACAGUGAAAGGAGCAGUUACACUGUCUUACUGAUGAGGUACUACACAGGUGCACAACGCCAAGGAGCAGUUAUUGAUGAGGGGAAGAAGCAGCGAAUGCUGAAUUUGUUCAGCAUAUAAUGUUAACAUGCUGCUCUGCAAGGUGUAUUCUACUCUAAUCAAAUUAUAAGCAAGUUCAUUUAGCGUUCCUAAGUUAUAUCGCUAGGUUGAUGAUUCAAAGUACUUUUGAUUUAUAAUAUACAUUGUAAGAUAAUUAACUAAAGGUAUAUGCUUAUAAAUAUUUUCCAAACCAAAAUACGCCUUGUUAAAAUAAAUAGAGGGAGUGAUAUGUUAUAUGGUGCCACUAACCUAAGGUCAAGGACUUUCCCCACAUCUAAGAGAUUUGCUCAAUCUUAAAUGUUGUCAAUUGCAAUAUAGCUAGUCUUGCUUAAGCUCGGCGCACUGCAGAAAAAAAGCCAAAACUCCUACCAAGAGUCCAACAAAGUACCCAAAAAGCCUUACAACCGGUGUACGUCAACCAGCAUUCCUAAAUUAUUACAGGAAGGCAAGAAAAUCAUAAACCUAAUCAUGGGCAGGUUUUCUCCAUGCACCUUAGGUUACAGUACCACAACCACAUGGACAGGACGGCAAAUGAAAACCAUACGAGAAAACCAAGUAAAUCCCAUGACAAGUGAAAGCACAGGGUACCAAACUUAGUUGGUAAUUUGUUUUUGCUAGUGGCCAGUGAGUAUCAAUAUGUCCUCACAACUCACAUGGGGUGGCCAAGCACGAUCGAUCAGUUAGCAACAGGCCAACAGUAUUGCAUUUCAAAAAAAAAAAACCCCGGAAAGUGCAGCACUACUGUUCAGCCUGUAUUGAUCAUGGAAACCUAACGAAUCAUGUUUUCAAGCAGCAUUCAGUGUGGUCAUCCGCUCAUGGACCAAGCACUCGUAGUGAAGACCGUAGCAGCAUCAAUAAUAGGGCCUGCACUGAGGGCACAAGGCUGUGCCCCUUUCCGAGAGAAGCGUACAUGGAUGCCUGUGCGCCACAGUAACUGCGCUCUAAGCAUGAACGCAUGAUGAUCCUCAGCAGCUCACAUGCUCCUGCCAUGCCACGGUGCCGUCUCCAUUGAUGUGCGCCCAUAUAAUUGGAGUUGCGUCGUCAAUGCGAGCUCAGAAGCUUUGUCGAUCGAUCGAUGGAGGAGGGUAUCUGUGGUGGUGCACUGUAACGCUGUAUCCGUAGGUCGUUGGAUUGGAUUAUUGCUCCCUUUCUGUCGCGGAAUUGAUUUUAAUUUGCAUUCGGAUCAAAGUGCCUGAUGCUAAGCCUUGAACAUGGUAGAAUCAAGGAGAUCAAGCGGAGAGUGGAGGCAGUGUAGCAGAGCGCUGAUUGUUUGAUAGAUUACUAACUGUUGAUACGGAGUUCUAGAGAUGAUGCUGCAAAGCAAGAGAGCCUGAUGAAGCAUGGUAGCAUGCGAAUCUCGCGUUCUAAGACAUGACGUGGUUCAAAACAUCAUCCAAUUGCAAGUGGCAGCUUUACCAGAAUAUUUUUUUCGGACACUUUUCAGAUUUGUACAAGUUCAGCUAGAUUAUCCUAAAUGUCGAGGUAGCAGUAGUUUCCUUUGCAUGUCAUAUCUUACUGGACCGUAGAUGAACGGGGGGCUGUACUUUGCAGUCCCAGAAAAGGCUGAUGAUUUGUCAAUGAUAUUCUUCUGGCUGGCAGGAGUACUUCAAUCUGAAUUGGAAGGGACCACGGUGUUUUAAAUUCAUCUUUUCUGUUAGAAGAUGUGUACGUGUUGUAUGUGCUGUGCGUGUAGGCUCAGGCCGGCUCCCUACCGUACCCUAGAUGGAUUAGGAUGAGCAGUCUUAUCUCUUGGUCGGUUAUGUUUCUAUAAACCUCACCAAGGAUUGAUGUUGUAUACCCUAAUCAAUCUAUUAUCCCACGCAUUAUACACAAUCCCUAUUGCUUUCAUGGUACCACGAGUCCGGGUUAUCCCCGUUUCCUUACCUUCCGCAUCCUAGCACGUCGCCGACGCUGCUCCCAGCGCGCCCGACCGCCGGUGCUGCACUCAGUGCGCUUGACCACGGCACUGCUCCCGCACCGGCUCUCCACCGUCGCUGCCCUCCAUGGCCAUCACCCUGCCGCCCAAGUCCUCCGCCGUCGUGAGCCACGCUGUCGCUGCCGAGGCUGCUAAGCGCGCGGCUGAUGCUAGCACCGCCGCCGCCGCUCAGCAUCGCGCCGCCCACAAGGAAGCCCGCGCCGUCACGGCUGAGGCUGAGGCCGCCGCUGCCGCGCAAGAGCACUACGCUGCCGAUGCCCGCUUUCGUGAGGCUGUGGCGCGCGCCACCCAGGAAGGCAAGGGCGCCCCGCCUGACUCUGACGAGGAGGACGCUAGCGCCGACCUCUCCGACCAGGCGUCCGAUGCUCACUAGGCCAUGAUGCUCCACGAGGCCGCCGCCAUCCUCAACCUACAUGCCCAGGCCGUCGUCGUGCAGAACAUUCGGAGCUUCAUCCCCGUCGUCCUUGACACCGCCGCUGACAACUACUCACAGUGGCGUGAGCAGUUUCUCCUCACCGUCGGCAAGUAUUCGCUGCAGGAUCAUAUUCUCCGUGACGUUCCCGCCCUAGCCUCUCCUGAUUGGGCCGGAUGGACUGCGUCAUCCGGUCUUGGCUCUACGGCACCAUUGCCACCAACCUCAUCAACGUCGUCAUGGAUCGCGGCGAGCGCGGCGCCACCGCCCGCACCAUCUGGCUCGCCAUUGAGAUGUAGUUUCUCGACAACCGGGAGACGCAGGCCCUCUACCUCGACACCAAGUUCCGGACCUUCGUCCAAGGUGACUUGUCCAUUAUGGACUAUUGCCGCCGCUUCAAGAGUACGGCGGACGCCCUUGGUGAUCUCAGCGAGCAAGUCUCCGAUCGCACCCUCAUCCUCAACAUCAUCCGCAGGCUCAACGAGAAGUUCGCCGUUGUCGGCCGCGACAUCCGGCGCUCUCAUCCUCUUCGCUCCUUUCUAGAGGCCUGCGACGAUCUGCUUCUCAAGGAGCUCACGAUGGCGCCUCCUUCCCGACUCCGUCCACGGCGCUGCUCACCGGCGUCAACAUUGGAUUCUCCUCUCGCCCCUCUGCGUCUCCCUACCAGUCUGCCAGGCGUUCUGGCUCUAGGGGUGGCAAAGGGGGCAGCAAGGGGGCCCUCCUCCAAGCAGAAGCAGGACAGGGGCUGGCGUGGUGGUCAGCAACGGCAUGGCAGUGGCAACGGCAGUAAGACCCUUGCUGCCGGCGCCCAGGCCCCUGCUCCCAGCACCACCCAGGAAUCCGGCAGUCCCGGGCCCUCCUUCUGGAACCCUUGGUCUAAUACAAUUCAGAUGUACCCGGGCCCUCGGUAGCAGGCCACCGUUCCUCCCCAUCCUGUCGCACCCACACCGGUGUUUCAGCAGCAGACGCAGUAGGCCCUCCUUGCCCAGCAGCAGGCAUUGUACGCUCAACAGCUGUCAUGUGUGUCAGUUAGGGCAGCACACUCGCCUCCCUUUUCAGUCCUCUGAGUGUCUAGUACUUUCGAUCUUAUUCACUGCGAUUUGUGGACGUCUCCUAUUCUCAAUGUGUCUGGUUAUAAAUAGUAUACUAUUUGCUCAUUCUUGAUGACUGUUCUCAUUAUUUGUGGACGUUCCCUUUACGUCUCAAAUUUGACACUUUUGCGGCUCUGGCUAACUUCUUCUCCUCUGUGCGUACUCAGUUUGGCGCCACUGUGAAGGCCGUUCAAUGUGACAACGGCCGCGAGUUCUAUAACUCCAGCACACGCACCUUCUUUCUCACGCACGGGGAUUGUCUUCGCAUGUCCUGCCCCUAUACAUCGCCUCAGAACGGCCGGGCCGAGUACAUGAUUCGGACUGUCAACAAUGUUGUUCGCUCCCUUCUCUUUCAGGCUAGUAUGCCUCCCUCCUUUUGGGUUGAGUCUCUGCAUACUGCUACACAUUUACUGAACAUUCUACCCACAAAAACCCUUAGGUUCUCCACGCUGCACAUGGGUCUGUUUUGCAUCUCGCCGUCUUAUGACCAUCUCUGGGUUUUUGGUUGCACUUGCUAUCCGAAUCUUUCCGCUACUACGCCACACAAACUCGCUCCUCGCUUCACCUUGUGUGUUUUCCUUAGCUAUUCUGCUCAUCACAAGGGAUACCGCUGCCUUGAUCUCUCGUCCAAUUAGGUCUUCAUCUCUCACCAUGUUGUGUUUGACGAGACUACCUUUCCGUUUUCUCAGCAGCAACCGCUCCCAGCUAACGAGGAUUUUGAUUUUUUGUUGGAACUUCUGAUGUGGUGCCACCCCCUAUUGGCUCGGCACCAUCCUGCAGGACACUCACCCGGCACACCUUCGACCUCCCGGAUCGGUUGGGCGAGCGCCCCGACCGCUCCGGCGAGCUAUCCGAUCGGUCGGCUGAGCGCCCCGACCACACCGGCGACCACUACAGUCGGUCGGGCGACUGUCCCAACCGCACCGAUGAGCUCUCCGCUUGGUUGGCUUAGCGCCCCAACGACUGCUCCGCUCGGUCGUGCAACCGCUCCGACCGCACCGGCGACCGCUCCGCUCGGUCAGGUGAGUGCCCCGACCGCACCAGCGAGCUCUCUGAUUGGUCGGGCGAGUGCUCCGACCGGUCGGGCGUGCACCCACGGUUCUCCCCCCGUGCAGCCUCCUGCUCUGGUCGUUCUUCCUUGUGGUGCGGUUCUCGUGCGUCCCGUCACCAAUCAGCACCCCGUGACAACGCGUGGGAAGCUUGGAUUCCAUUUGCCAAACCUUUUUCAUUCCUCCCAGCUGUCACCAGUGCCUGGCACUUACCGGGGCGCUCUCGCUGAUCCCAAUUGGCGCCGAGCCAUGUAGGAGGAGUUCAACGCGCUGCUGGCCAAUCACACGUGGGAUCUUGUAUCACGUCAUGCUAGGGCCAAUGUUGUUACUGGCAAGUACAUUUUUAAGCACAACUUUCAUGCCGACGGUUCUCUGGAAAGCUACAAAGCACGGUGGGUGCUUCGCGGGUUCACUCAGCGACCUGAGAUUAUUUUUCUGAGACUUUCAGUCCUGUCGUCAAACCAGCCAACGUCCGCAUAGUGUUGUCCCUAGCUCUCUCUCGUCAUUGGCCAAUUCAUCAGUUGGAUGUGAAGAAUGCUUUUCUUCACGGGACGCUUUCAGAGACAGUCUAAUGUGCUCAGCCUGUUGGCUUUGAGGAUACCACCUGUCCUGAUCAUGUUGGUCGGCUAAAUCGCUCUCUAUAUGGACUUAAGCAAGCUCCUCGUGCUUGGUACAGUUGCUUUGCCUCUCACCUACUGCAGCUCAGCUUUGUGGAAGCUAAGACCGACACUUCCCUGUUUGUGUACCACCGCGACGACGACAUGGUCUAUCUUCUCCUUUAUGUGGAUGAUAUAGUCCUCACGGCGUCUUCGACACCUCUUCUUCAUCGCAUUAUUGGUGCCUUACAGCGGGAGUUUUUGAUGAUGGAUCUUGGUGAACUUCAUCAUUUUCUGGGUAUGCAUGUUUAGCGGUCUGGUAAUGGCCUUCUUCUCUCUUAACGCCAGUUUAUGUUGGAGAUUCUGGAGCGUGCUGGUAUGACUGAUUGCAAGUCUUGUUCCACACCAGUUGAUACAAAUUCGAAGCUGUCUGCUACUGAUGGUGCCCCUCUUGUCAAUGGGAUUGAUUUUCGGAGCCUCGCUGGUGCUCUACAGUAUCUCACCUUUACUCGUCCCGACAUUGCUUAUGCGGUUUAGCAUAUUUGUCUACACAUGCAUGAUCCUCGUGAGCCACAUCUUGCCGCCUUAAAGUGCAUUCUACGGUAUAUUCGUGGCACUCUUCACUUGGGUUUGCAUCUUCGGCCCUCUGCACAGUCGGAUUUGCUAGUUUACUCCGACGAUGAUUGGGCUGGUUGCUUAGACACCCGGAAGUCCACUUCUGGGUAUGCAUUUUUUUGGGCGACAACUUGGUCUCCUAAUCUUCAAAGCGACAUACUGCAGUUUCUUGCUCGAGUACCGAGGCUGAGUAUCGGGCGGUUGCCAAUGCCGUUGCUGAGGUCUUCUGGUUGCGCCAACUUCUAGUUGAGCUGCAUGUUCCUCUACGUCGCACCAUCUUGGUUUAUUGCGAUAACAUCAGCACUGUCUACAUGUCUUCGAACCCCGUUCAGCAUCAGCGCACAAAACACGUGGAGAUUGAUCUCCACUUUGUUUGUAAGUGCGUUGCUGCUGGUGAUGUUCGCAUUCUUCAUGUUUCGACGAGCUCUCAGUACGCUGACAUUCCCACCAAAGGCCUGCCUUCUUUGGUGUUCACGGAGUUCAGGUCCAGUCUGAACGUUCAAGCUGCCGACGAUCAGACUGCGGGGGCGUGUUAGAAGAUGUGUAUGUGUUGUAUGUGCUAUGCGUGUACAUGGGCCCUGGCUGUGCACCAGGCUCAGGCCAGCUCCCUGUUGUGUCCUAGAUGGAUUAGGAUGGUCAGUCUUAUCCCUGGAUCGGUUGUGUUUCUAUAAACCUCACCAAGGGCUGUCUAUAUGUUUGUACAUAUUGUAUACCCUAAUCAAUCUAUUAUCCCACGCAUUAUACGCAAUCCCUAUUGCUUUCACGUUCAAAGGACAGAUGUUUCUUAAAGUUCAGUGUAAUGAAUGGCAGGCAUACGAAAUCAGCAUUACCAAUUUCGCAAGAAAUUUGUCAAUUAGUGACAGACACAUGAUCUACUUAAUAUCUGCAAUCUAGCCCAUUGAGAAUGCUGGUUAUUCAGCUAGAAUUGAUUCAGAUUUGACAAAAAUCAGGCAACUUGGACCUUGCAAAACCAUCCUUGUCACAUAAGGCUUGGCAUUCUUGGAGAGUGAUGUCGCCAAUUUCCAAGCACUGCACUUAAAAUAUUUGACCGGUAGCUGAAAAAUGACUGUCAAUUUGAUUCAGAGUGCAGGAUCACGAUGUGGCCAGCACUGGCCUUGUCCUCUACCGGAGCUUCUGACAUCACAGAUCACACGAAAAGCCAGAAGGCAAGGACAGAGGACUAGCCUCUGAAGCAGCUGCCUUCCACUCAUCUUUCCGCCAUCCUUGAUAGCAGUCCUUCCUGCCGACCUCCUCCUCCAAGUCCCAAGAGGUAUGGUGCCGCGGUUCACCGAGUCACUGUUGCUUCUUCAAUUCACUCAUGUAUGAGGUUUUUCGCUCUCGAAUUCCUGUUUCAACCAUGUGGAGAAUCCCUGCGUGCAUCUUCUUGAUUUUUGUGGAACCCUAGGUGGAGGGGAUGGCCAUGUUAGAUGCUGCUGCAAAUCUUGAAUGCUCCCCAACUGUAAGCAAUAAAAGGGAUUGCCAUACUAGAGGGCCUGCCGAUUUUAUACAGUCUGCAUCUCUAUCCGCCGUUCCCCCGAUUCGGGACUUAUCUUGAAUUAAGUGGGGCACCGUUCAGUUGUGUUUCGUCAGAAAAAAUAUCUUUCAGGUGUGUUGUGGACUUCUACUGACCUUCUUGGUCUUCUAAUAAGCGCCGCUUCAAUUUACCACUUCGGACCUGAGUCACCUGACUACUAUUAGGAUGAGUGAUCAAAUGGGACGAUCUGAUCCUGCAGACGCUUAGUCCCUUACUCCUUUCUAACUGUAUCAACUUAUUUAGCCUUUGCAGUCCUGCAGAUGACCUGAGUCACCUGACUACUAUUAGGAUGAGUGAUCAAAUGGGACGAUCUGAUCCUGCAGACGCUUAGUCCCUUACUCCUUUCUAACUGUAUCAACUUAUUUAGCCUUUGCAGUCCUGCAGAUGCUAAGUCGUUUCGGUCUCAAAAAAAGAUGAGAAGUCGUUUCUAAUUAUAUCAGUGUUUUAGCCUUUGCAGCAGGAUAUAUAGCAGUAUGUUUGAUCCUAACUUGGAUAUAUGAGAUGUCUGAAAGCUUUAGUAUUUUUCGAAGAACAGAUGUCGUGUGAAACUGUAGUAAUCACAUGAAUUUCAACUAGGUCUGAAUUAGCUUACUCUAACUGUGUAAUUGGGCCUUCAAGAUUGAGAGGAGAAUAUUCAAAGUUCAGAAAGAGUAGGUUCCAGAAUUUAUUCAGCUAAAAUCCUUCUGUUCAUGUCGACGCUUGAAUGAUGAAAAAUAAAACUGGAAUUUUGUGUUCCCGGUACCACUACUUCUCAGCAAGCUUAACACAUGUUAUCCAUCUUAUUAUUUACGUGGGGACUGGGGGAAAGCUCUUAUGAAAAUGGGACUAUUCCCUUGCUAAGUAUGUACAUAUAUUGUAUAUAUCAAAAUAUCAAAGACUGUAUUUAGCAUGCCAGUGCCCAUGUCUGUGAAGUAUGAUGAAGAACUGAAGAGAUGCGAUUCUCUUUCAGUUGAGAUGAGUAGCACCGGAACUAGAUCUGAACAGUGAUUUCAGAGUCAUUUUGCUUGUUUCCCUUUUAUUGCCCACUGUUGGUUACAGCUCAACUACUCAAGAGUGGAUAUCCAUUUUGCUGCCUUUUGUUGUCUGUGCUUGGUUGCGUCUAGCUCUAGCCAGAGUCGCGACAAAAGGUAUGAGUUGCAGUAGUUAUUUUUUGCGGUAAAAAACACUAGUUGGAUACUACUCUUAAAACUGCAAAUUAGAAUGUACUGUCUUCAUUGAAACCACGUAUAUAUCAAUCGGUAGUAUGUCUUUCUACAUCUGAUGGCUGAAAAUGGUACUUGUUGAGGUGUUUUGUAUAUGCCUGUCAGUUUGUUAUUGUCUUGAAUUUGCAUUUCCAGGAGGGUUCAAAUGUUUCAGUUAAAUGAAAAUGUCCUAGUGUCUCUUAAAGGGUUUUUUUGGGUACUAGUAAAGUUGAUAAGAUAAGGAAGUGGGAAUCUUGCAUUUUCUUCAAGUAUAGUUGUUUGGCCACACUUAUUUGGUUGUCUUAAAUCUUUAUCGUAUGCCCAUGUAGGGUUUGCCCUUGACCUAUUAUGUACCCUUAGAGAAAAGCAAUAUUGUAGAUUUCAGACUAGUCUACUUCGCUUAACUCUAGGAUAUGUACUGGUUUGGAACAAAUUUUACAUUGAGGAACAACACAAAAUGCUAACUGUUGAUUCCAAGAAAAAGGCAAGAUCUAAAAUGCCUAUACUACUAUAGUUUGAUACAAGUAUGCCAAACUUUUGAUAUGCAACCAAAAUGAAAUGUUGGGGGCCUGUACUGAAAAAGGAACAACUUGUGGAUUAUGUUUCUAAAUUUUCUGUAUAAGCGUAACAGAGAUAUUUGCAGCAUCCUGAUUCCUCAAUGGCCUUUUAACAAUUUAAUGUAGCAGAAAUGGAGGAUAAUCUACCAGUCAAUGUCCGGGAGUAUCAAGAGCUCGCCAAGAAAGCACUACCAAAGAUGCACUAUGAUUAUAUUAAUGGGGGAGCAGAGGAUGAGUACACACUGAGGGAGAAUAUUGCGGCAUAUGGAAGAAUUCUGUACUAUUCACCACACCAAUAAUUUUAAAGCCCAUUAAGAAGUAGGACCUGACCUUUUGGUGUGGAUCCCACAGGUUACGGCCAAGGGUUCUUAUAGAUGUCAGCAAGAUAGACAUGUCUACAACCUUAUUAGGAUAUAAUAUGCCAUCGCCAAUAAUGGUCGCUCCAACAGGAUCACACAAAUUAGCAAAUCCAGAAGGUACAAAAACUUAAGUCAAACCAAGUUUUAAAUCAUAAGUUAUAUUGUCUAAGGACUGGUGCUAUCUCCAUAACUCUUGGUUAAAUGUUCAUUUCAGGGGAGGUGGCCACAUCGAGAGCAGCAGCAGCAUGUAACACCAUAAUGGUAACUACUGAUUAUGAUGUACUUCUCAUCUUUAUGUCCUCCGUGGAUUGUUAAAAAAUUUCAUAUAUGUGAAACAGGUGCUUUCCUUUUCAUCCAGCUGCAAAAUCGAGGAGGUUGCCUCCAGUUGUGACGCCAUUCGCUUUUAUCAGUUAUAUGUAUGAUAUCUUGACGUUGAUAUUCUUUGAGUAAAUUCCUCUUUCUGCAGCUAUCUGGUUUCUGAAACUUUUUUGUGUACAUCAGGUGUACAAGAGAAGGGAUGUUUCAGCAACAUUGGUGCGGCGGGCUGAGAGUUUAGGAUUUAAGGGCCUGUUUUCUUCCGCUUGCUAAACUUUAGCACCUGUCACAUCGAAUGUUUAGAUACUAAUUAGGAGUAUUAAAUGUAGACUAUUUACAAAANNNNNNNNNNNNNNNNNNNNNNNNNNNNNNNNNNNNNNNNNNNNNNNNNNNNNNNNNNNNNNNNNNNNNNNNNNNNNNNNNNNNNNNNNNNNNNNNNNNNAUUAAGCCUAAUUAGUCCAUGAUUUGACAAUGUGUUGCUACAGUAAAUAUUUGCUAAUGAUGGAUUAAUUAGGCUUAAUUAGGCUUAAUAGAUUCGUCUCGCCGUUUAGAUUCCACUUAUGUAAUUGGUUUUGUAAAUAGUCUACGUUUACUACUCCUAAUUAGUAUCUAAACAUUCGAUGUGACACGUGCUAAAAAUAAGACACGGGAAGAAAACACCCCCUAAGGCAAUUGUUUUGACAGUUGACACGCCUGUGCUCGGAAGGCGUGAAGCUGACAUCAGAAACAAGUACACAAUGCUGGUUAUCUUACUGAAUUUUCCUGAACAUUCAUUCGAAAUAUGCUCUUUUAAAAAUCACAGUUUCAUUGUGGUAGCCUAUCACUACAGAAGGUUAAAUUUUGAUAAGCUACUGCCUUCCCAUGCCGUAUCUUAGAUCAUCAAUAUAUUUAUGUAGAGCAGUUUAACAGCUUGAAGAUGAGAGUAUUACAAAAUUUUCCCUUUAUUGUGUUGUUCUGUAACCGAGCUGAUUGUUGAUGCAGGAUGAUUGCUCCACGGUUGGAAAACCUUGAGGGUCUGAUGUCAUUUGAUGAUGAUCUUGACACCGUAAGUGAAAUGUUAGCUUUUGCAAAUUGCUGUACAAAAAGAACAGUACAGGAAUCUGUUGAUUGUAGUCUUGUAGAUGAAAUACUUUUCCUUCUGGAAGACUGAACCAUUAUCGUCUUACGAUCAUCAGGAAGGCGGCUCCAAGCUGGAACGAUUCGCACAUGAGACGCUAGAUCCAUCAUUGUCAUGGAAGGUAGGUACAAAGAACACAGCUCAAUCGGCAGCCGUGCCAUAAAUUCCUUAAAUCUUGGAUUCCAUAGCAUGUGCCACGGCAUCCACAAUACUUGCCCGGCAUAUAGAACAGUUAUGGGAUGCAAAGGACGGAUCCGCAUCAGGCAUCAGGGCUGGCUGUACGUGGGAUACUGAAAACCUGCUCCAAGAACAGUGCAUGGCUCUUAAUAUGGCAUGCUGGUAUAGAAAUGGCAGUGGCCUACCGGGGUCCUGCUCCUGCCCCAUGGACACGUACUGCCCUUAGAAUUGCAUGCAUCAGUACUUGGCUACAGCGGCCUUGAAUCUCCUGUACCGGUGAUAAUGGCGUGAUGGGCCAGACGUAGUAGUCCUGCACGCAGGCAAUUGAGUGGCGAGUGGUUGAUGCUGUGUGUUUGUACUUUGUUCGCUGAAUUGUGGUUUGCAGGACGUGGAGUGGCUCAAAUCCAUUACCAGCCUGCCGAUCCUGCUCAAGGGCAUCGUCACCGCCGAGGACGGUAAUGAACAACCACAAUUUCAGUUUUGGAUUGUUGACGCAGUGCUGAAUCCGAGCACUGGUAAUUUGGUAUGGUCACUGAAAAAAAAGCUCUCUGGCUCUGCGGCGGCGGUUGCACAGCCAGGAAGGCCGUGGAGGUUGGUGCGGCCGGCGUGAUCGUGUCCAACCACGGCGCGCGGCAGCUGGACUACGCGCCGGCCACCAUCUCCGCGCUCGAAGAGGUGGUUAAGGCGGUGGCGGGCGCCGUGCCGGUGCUGGUGGACGGCGGGAUCCGGCGGGGCACCGACGUGUUCAAGGCGCUAGCGCUCGGCGCCAAGGCAGUCAUGGUACGCGCCCACGCCGAGCAAUGACUCGUAGCCACUGCCUGCUUUCACCGUGUCAAAUUCUGACGAGGAAUUGCAUGCAGGUGGGGAGGCCGGUGUUCUACGGGCUGGCGGCGCGAGGGGAGGCCGGGGCGAGGCACGUCAUCGAGAUGCUGAACCGGGAGCUGGAGCUGGCCAUGGCGCUCUGCGGCUGCCGGAGCGUCGGGGAGGUCACCAGGCGGCACGUCCUGACCGAGGGCGACCGGAUCAGGGCGCUGCUGUGAGCUUGUGAACAAGGUUGAUACAUGGAGCCAUGAACGGACGACCUGGCUAUCCAUGGUCGGUAUGCGACGGACUGCCUAGAUGGCAGUCAGUGUCCGUCCUCCGGUGGGUGUUGCAAUGAGAGCCCAUCUGACAUUGAUUGAUCGCUCCAAAAAUAAGUCAAAAAUAAGCCAUUGUGCAUUGCCAAUAUCAAAACGACGGUUACCAAAAAUCUGUGCUGGAUUAAGCUAUAUGUGUUCUGUGAGAACUUGGUCAACGUGUUAGUUCAAAAAAAGAACUUGGUCAACGUAUCUUGGGGUCCACUUCUGGAAUACAUGAGAAUAUUGUGAAGCAAUUAUUUCAAAAAAAAGAAUAUUGUGAAGCAAAAAUAUCAAUAUGUCAAUCCUUCUUUAAAUUAUUAUUUUCCCCUCUUUCCACAUUUUUCUUGCGCAUUUCGUCGAUGGGGCCACUGAGUUGGUGCUCGGAGCACCCAUGAUAUGAAAUGUUGAUAUUGACAUCUACCCGAACUUUUGACGACAUCACAAAGAGGAGGGGAGGACUGAGGCGGUGUUUGGGAGAUAAGGGCUAAACUUUAGCCCUGUCACAUCGGAUGUUCGGAUGCUAAUUAGGAGGACUAAAUAUGAGCUAAUUACAAAACUAAUAGCAGAACCCCUAGGCUAAAUCACGAGACGAAUCUAUUGAGCCUAAUUAAUCCAUCAUUAGCGAAUGGUUACUGUAUCACCACAUUGUCAAAUUAUGGACUAAUUAGGCUUAAUAGAUUCGUCUCGCGAUUUAGCCUAGGGGUUGUGUAAUUAGUUUUAUAAUUAGUCUAGGUUUAAUACUCCUAAUUAGUGUCCAAACAUUUGAUGUGACGGGGGCUAAAAUUUAGGUGGCGUUUGGUUCCCUUUGCUUAUUUUUAGCACGUGUCACAUCGAAUGUUUAGAUACUAAUUAGAGGUAUUAAACCUAGACUAAUUAUAAAACUAAUUACACAACCCCUAGGCUAAAUCGCGAGACGAAUCUAUUAAGCCUAAUUAGUCCAUAAUUUGACAAUGUGGUGAUACAGUAACCAUUCGCUAAUGAUGGAUUAAUUAGGCUCAAUCGAUAUAAAACGGUCACGUUCAUUUUCUCAUAUCUUUGAUCCCCCAGGCCACCCUGUUUGUGUUGGGUUGGUUAUUUUCCCCCAUUUAACCAAGNNNNNNNNNNNNNNNNNNNNNNNNNNNNNNNNNNNNNNNNNNNNNNNNNNNNNNNNNNNNNNNNNNNNNNNNNNNNNNNNNNNNNNNNNNNNNNNNNNNNAAGCCGAAUUUUUUUAAGCGUAAUUGACACAUCUUUAGCUAUAGUUACUGGUUCUCCAUUUAUCUAAUCAUGGCUUAAUUAGGCUUAAUCGAUUCGUCUCGCCGUUUAGCCUCCACUUAUGUAAUCGGUUUUGUAAAUAAUCUACGUUUAAUACUCCUAAUUAGUAUCUAAACAUUCGAUGUGACGGGGGCUUAAAAAUAAGUCAGUGAACCAAACCAGGCCUUAGCCCCCUCCUCCCAAACACCCCCUAACCCUUAAGCUGCUCUUCGCUCAUCUUUCUGGCAUCCUCGUUAGCUGUUCUUCCUACUCGACCUCGCCUCCAAGUCCCAAGAGGUAUGGUGCUGCAGCUGCUGCUUCUCACUGUUCCUUUUUCAAUUCAAUCUCUCUACGAGGAAUUUGCUUCCAGUUUCCUGUUUCCAUCAUGUGCAGAAUCCCAGUAUGCUUUUUUAUUUGUUCAUGAUCUCUGUGGAACUUUAGGUGGAGGGGAUGGGCAUGUUAGAUGCUGCUGCAAAUCUUGAAUGCUCCCCAACUGUGUGCCACAGAAGGGAUUGCAGUACUAGAGGUCCUGGCAAUUUUGUACAGCCCCCCAUGUCUAUCCGCCGUUAGCUCGUUACGCCAAUUUGGGGGUUAUCUUGAAUUCGGUGGGACACGUUUCAGUUGUGUUUUGUCAGAAAAAUAAACCUUUCAGUUGUUGUGUGGAGUUGCAUUGAUCUGCUUGUGGAUUGGUUCAAGCUUAGAUAUAUGAGAUGUCUGAAAGGUUUAGUAUUAUUCGAAGAAUACAUGUCUCAAAGCUUUUUGGAUUAAAUUGAUUUCUAUUGGUUUUGGACCAGUUGUUUAAUUGUCUUAAAUCUUCUUCUGAUGCCAAUUGUAAGCUUCUGUUACCAUUUUGACUUCUAGAGGAAAUUAGUAUUGUAAACUUCUCCAGUUUGAACAGCUGAGACUUCUAUUUUACGUAGAUUUUACCAUUUUGACUUCUAGAAGAAAUUCGUAUGGUAAACUUCAGAUCGAUCUACUUAACUUAGUAUUAUAAACUUCUAGAGGAAAAUAAUAUUGUAAACUUCUGUUACCAUUUUACCAGUUUGAACAGGAACAACGUAAAAUGGUAACAGUCCAUUCCAAAAGAAAGGGCAGAUCUAAAACGCCUAUAAGAAUGUGUAGCUUUUGAAGCAUAUAUGUAUCAUAAAGUUUCGCUGUGUAUCCAAAAUGAAAGGAUUUGAGACAAGGAAGAUCUUGUUGGUUAUAUAUGUUUCUAAAUCAUCUAAACUACUGCGAUACUUUUAGCAUCAGAAUGACAUUUUUAACAAAUUAAUGUAGCAGGAAUGGAGUAUAAUCUACCAGUCAAUGUCCGGGAGUAUCAAGAACUCGCCAAGAAAGCACUACCAAAGAUGCACUAUGAUUACAUGAAUGGGGGUGCAGAGGAUGAGUACACAUUGAGAGAGAACAUUGCAGCAUAUGGAAGAAUUCUGUAUUGUUCACUACAUCACUAAUUUUGUACCUCGCUAAGAAGUAGGACCUGACCUUUUUGGCAUGGAUUUCACAGGUUAAGGCCACGGGUCCUUGUGGAUGUCAGCAAGAUAGACAUGUCAACAAGCUUACUAGGAUAUGAUAUGCCAUCGCCGAUAAUUGUCGCCCCAACAGGGGCACACAAAUUAGCAAAUCCAGAAGGUACCAAAAAAAAAUCUAGUCACCUAUUUUUUAAAUGAUAAAAUAUGUCAUCCAAGGGCUGGUGCAAUCUCCACAACUCUUCUCUAAAUGUUCAUUUCAGGGGAGGUGGCCACAGCAAGAGCUGCAGCAGCAUGUAACACCAUAAUGGUAAUUACUGAAUCUGUUUUUAUGGGUCAUCUGAUGAUGUGCUCAACAUUAUACCUUCUGUACAUUGUUACACAUGUUCAUAUCUGUCAUACGUACAGGUGCUUUCCUUCGGAUCCAGCUGCAAAAUCGAGGAGGUUGCGGCCAGUUGCGAUGCCGUUCGCUUUUAUCAGCUAUAUGUAUGAUGAUCGAUGCCUUGACAUUGAUCUUCAGGUAAAUUCAUCUUUUCUUUGCAGGUACCUGACGUCUGAAUUUUUUUCAUUGUGUACCUUAUAGGUGUACAGGAGAAGGGAUGUUUCGGCAACGUUGGUACGGCGGGCUGAGAGUUUAGGAUUCAAGGCAAUUGUCUUGACAGUUGACACACCUGUGCUUGGUCGGCGUGAGGCUGACAUCCGAAACAAGUACAGUACUAUUAGUUCUGUUACCAAAUUUUCCUGAACAUUCAGCCGAAAUUUGUUCUUUUGCAAAUCAUAAAAUUUCAUUUUGCUAACCUAUUGCUCCAGAAGGUUAAAUUUUGAUAAGGUACUAUCUUCCCAUGCCAUAUCAUAAAUCCUAAACACAUUUACGUAGAGCAGCUCAAUAGCUUCAACAUCACAACGAUGCAAAAAUUUCCCUUUCCUUUUCUGUUGUGAUACUCUGUAGGGCCCUACUCUGUAACUGCACUGAUUGUUGAUGCAGGAUGGUUUUCCCACUGUCGCCAAACCUUGAAGUUUUAAUGUCACUCGAUGAUGAUGUUGGCACUGUGAGUGAGACACUUGGUUGAUCCAGUCCCAGAUUCAGAACUACAAGAGUUUGUUCACAGUGGACGUUCCUUCAUCUGAAAGACUGAACCAUCAUCUUGUCAUCUCCAUCGUCAGGAAGGUGGCUCCAAGUUUGAACGAUUCGCACGCGAGACGCUGGAUCCAUCUUUGUCAUGGAAGGUAUGUGCAAGUGCAAAUAACACAGCGCAAGCAACCGGUGGCCGUGCCAUAAAUUUUCUUUAAUUCCAUAGCAUAUGGAAUAAUGGAACAGUUACGGGAUGCAAAGGACGCGUCCGCAUCAGGCAUCAGGGCUGUACGCCGGAUGCACUGAAAUGGCGGUGGCCUACCGGCGUCCUGCUCCUGCCCUAUGGGCACGUCCAGCCAUUUCUGCUUGCAUGCAUCAGUACUUGGCUCCAGGCCUACAGCGGCCUUGAAUCGCCUGUACCGGCGACAAUGGCGUGAUGGGCCGGACGUAGUAGUAGUAGUAGUCCUGCUGGCAAUUGAGUGGCGAGUGGUUGAUGCUGUGUGCUUUGUUCGGUGAACUGUGGUUGCAGGACGUGGAAUGGCUCAAGUCCAUCACCAGCCUGCCGAUCCUGCUCAAGGGCAUCGUCACCGCCGAGGACGGUAAUGAAUUAACAAGUUAACAACUGCCAUAAUACCCGUGAUGAAUUGGAUGGAGUACUGUUAUGGUCGCUGAACUUUCUGACUCUGCGGCGGCGUUUGGACAGCCAGGAAGGCCGUGGAGGCCGGGGUGGCCGGCGUGAUCGUGUCCAACCACGGCGCGCGGCAGCUGGACUACGCGCCGCCCACCAUCACCGUGCUUGAAGAGGUGGUUAAGGCGGUGGCGGGGGCCGUGCCGGUGCUGGUGGACGGCGGGAUCCGGCGGGGCACCGACGUGUUCAAGGCGCUGGCGCUCGGCGCCAAGGCAGUCAUGGUACGCUCCCUCGCCGGGCAAUAAACUCGUGGUCACUGCCUGUUUCGGAAGGGAAACCGUGGCAAAUUCUGACGACGAAUUGCAUGCAGGUGGGGAGGCCGGUGUUCUUCGGGCUGGCGGCGCGCGGGGAGGCCGGGGCGAGGCACGUGAUCGAGAUGCUGAACAGGGAGCUGGACCUGGCCAUGGCGCUCUGCGGCUGCCGGAGCGUAGCGGAGGUCACAAGGCGUCACGUCCAGACCGACGGCGACCGGAUCCGGGCCAUGCUGUGAGGCUGUACAUAGCUUGAUAGCUACAAGUGCAGUCCACAGCCUAUUCAACAAAUCUUAUGCGCCAUGUCGGCAUGUCCACAUACAUUUCGACAAUGACAAUUCAGAGAUUCUGAGAUACAGUCAGCGAGCAGGUGAAACAUUUUGCUGCAAUGAACGACAUACAGUUUUCAAAAUGCGCUUAAAAUAGUGCUAUCCAUUUGAGGUAACAAAAAAGGGCCGGUUCACUCGCUGUCCCAGCAGAGUCAAUAACACAAAAUUUUGAUUUGCAUCUAACUCAUUACUGUGAAAAAUUCAAGCUACUCAACCAGUGUCAUCAGCAAUUUGGCUCAUCAGGCGUGCGUGAUUACUCUUCUACCCCCAGUUAGGAGUGGGUGUCGCGACAGGGGCAGCGCCUUGUUCCCAUCCAGGGGCGGCGGCUGCAGGCGGUGGGGCAGCAGCUGCAUCCCAGACACCAUCAGUUGGAGGAGCUGCAAUUCAGAAAAAUGAUAGCAGUACUUGUAAGGCUACCAUAACAGAUCAAACCACAGGUAAGCAGUUAACAAUGUCAACAUCUGUGAACAAAAUAGACAACAGGCUAAAUGAGGGAAUUCUACAUAGCAACAUUACUCAUUGGCCCAGUUAAGGUAUACAAUUUUACACGACUCCAUGAAACAAGAAUUUAAGUGAGCAUGGAAAAUAAAGAAACGAGCAAAUGUAGAUUAAACCUUGAGCUACCCCAUAGAAACAUGAAAGCUCAGCUGGUGUCAGCUUCCCACUUAGACCCAGUAGCAAGCCACUUAAAAACAUAAGCAUAAGGUACAGCACUGAAUCACCGGUAAUAUCAAAGAAAAAAAUGUAUCCUAACAAAACACUAUUGAGCAAGACUAGAACAGCUCAUCUUAGGCAUGCAUACAUCUAACCAAAUUAUAUUGUUACGAAAGAAGAAUAAUUUGACCUGGAGCAGCAGUCCAGUCGGCACCAGUUGGUGCUGGAAUGGCAGCAGGUGGAGCUGCAGCAUCACCAGCCCCCCAAUCACCACCCCAGUUGUCAGUCCCUGGGGCAGUAUAUUCAGCAACUGCGCCGUAGUCAGGGGCAACCAGAGCCUCUUCUUCCUCCUGCUCCUUUGCUUCCUCUGGGUCUCUGUAGAAAAACAGAUCAACCUGCAAAAGAGAAAUAAGAAGCACGAUCACAUGGUGAAGGAAAUACCUUAUUUCUACAAGCCAAACAUUAGCAGGAGGGGUACUAGUUUAGACUAUGUAAGUUUACCAUGAUAUCCCACUUGUGUCCUGGGAGAAUUGUACCACGCAUUUGGAGAACCAUCCUGGCAAGUAGCCAGAACAAACAGCCAAUGCUCUGCUUCCCCUUGUUAUUGGCGGGGAUGCCGAUAUCAACGUAGCGCAUAGGCGAGUCAGUGUCGCAGAAGGCAAUUGUGGGGAUGUUUCCAAGUGCAGACUCCUUAAUGGGCUGUUCACAGUUCAACAAAGAAGAUUUAAGAUUGUUCUGAGUUGACAAACUGACAUACAAUAUUUUAACAGAUAAAAAUUCACCUGAUGAUCAGUCCUGGGGUCAGUCAGGAUAAGAAGACGCGGCUCGCUGAAAGAGGUUUGCAACUGGUUGGUGAAUGUACCAGGAGUGUGCCUGCCAGCAAUGGCAUGAGCACCAGUGUACUGCGCAAACUUGAGGACAGCCCUCUGGCCAUAAGGCCUAGCAGACUGCACGAUGAUGUCCUGGGGGUUCUCAAUUGCAACAAUCACCCUCGCGGCCAACUGAAGUUUCUCCCAGGUCUUGCCAAGGUUAAUAAUGUAAAUACCUGAUGGAUAGUAUCGAAAAGCCCUCUUGUUAACUUGCAGCUCACCAUGGUGACAGAGAAAAUUGCAUUGAACAAACACGACAGCAUAUAGAAUGGAGUUAACUUGCUCAAUGGUAAAGUGACAAAGAAAAUUGUUCAAUGGUAAUCAACUGGAGUUAGCACAAUACUACUAGAUGUCCUUGCCAACAUAUAGACCAUGAUGUUCAAUAUCAGUCAAUUGAUCCUUCAAUUUUGAUAAAAUCUAUGAACCCACAGCUCACGUUAUGAGAUCAGAUUGACAAGCAUUUUUAUGUUGCAGCUAGACCUUACACACAUGGAGAUCACAUUCACCCCAGUAACCCUCAAAAUCCUCACGCAGUAACGCUAGACAAGCCUUGAGAUCUAAGAUGAUGACUACCAUCUGAAACACGUAAUACUGGAGAAAUGCUUCUAGAUGACGACACACUGCUACCAAUGGCAAAAUUACCAACUAGAAUGGCAUACGCAUCAAUAUUUCUGAAUUGAACGCAUCGCAGCAUGACAAGAUCCAAAUAGAAGACAUCAUGAACAGAUCUAUUAUAACUAAAAUAUCGACGCGCAUUCGAUGUAAAAAAUUGGGUAGACUCGAGAGGAUUGGAUUGAUACCGUCGGUGCGGCGCUUGAAGACGUAGCGCUCCAUCUGGAAGUCGCAGUUCUUGGUGCCGAGGUGGACGUCGGCGGCGAGCAUCAUCUGGAUGUCCAGCUCCUUCUGGGAAAGCGCCCGCGCGGCGCCGCCUGCCGGUGCCGCCGCCAUCGUCACCGCUGGUGUUAGGGUUUCGGGCCCGUGCACCUUGCGCGAGGUAGCCGGAGCAAAGGGGAGAAGAGGCGGCACGGGUGCGGGAGGUGGCGGCGCGGGAGGUCGCGAGGGGCUGAGGCUCUGAGCUUUUAUAUGGUCCGGCACGUUUGGGAUAAAAACCCUAGCUGGGGAUCUUCUACGGUUUUUCCUUUCAGUUUUUUUUUGCGUGACAAUAAAAAAAGGCUUUUGGUUUUUUGGGCGACGAAACAGGUGGUGUCUUCCUGUCUUCAGAUUUUGUUUACAUGUUCUGGUAUAAAAGCAUGAGUUUUCACUAUGUUUACAUUUGAUACAAAUGGAAGAAGCUAUACAUGCAAUAAGCUUUGAAGAUGCUUUAAAGAAACAAGACGAAAAACUUCUACGUUUGAUAAUGGCAUAAAAAAGAUUUUGAUUUAUUAGGAUGCAUAUGCAUAAGAACGAUACUGAUAAACACAUAUAAACACUCCUCUGCUAAUACUAAAACGAGAUGUUGAUGCUAGAUUUGACUUUGGGUUGAUACACUUCCAAAUAUUGACAAUUAAAAGGUUAACAUAUGCACUCAGGGGCGGAGCUAGCCUUUGUCGUUGGGGUCAAGCGACCCCGAUAAAAUUCUAUAAAGCCAGCGAAAAGUUACUGUUCACCAUUAUUAAUUAAGCUGUUGAUCCCGUUGUGAAAGAAUGAUGACCUCGGUAGCUUGUGUGGCUAGCUUCACCUUGUAUGCAUCCUUUUCAAAAUACUGAAAAUGAGAUAUAAACCAUAGUGUACAUCUUUAAAAUAUUUUUAGAAUUGUUCUAUGAAGCAUACGUGCAUACUUGAAAUACUGUUUCACCUCGAUAGAGAUAAGGCUUGUCACUACAUUAAUGUUGAUAUAUGCAAAAAACCUAUUUUAUGGUUUCACCAAUAUUUAGCUGGCUUGGGCGGUGGGCCUCCUGCAGCACCUAUGGGCUGUUGCCGGGCUUGCGAUACAGUGACGAGGCCCCGCCCGAUUCUCUAUCACUCAGCCCAUCAGCCGCAAGUCGUCAAGCCAACGCCGGGGGAGGGGAGGCUGGACCGCUGGAGCCCCCGCCGCCGUUGGGCGUCGCCGACCUAUCCAACCCACGGCGACCCCCCGAGACGCCGCUUGCUGCACGGUCAGUCCGCCCGCCCGCUCACCCCACAUCAGGACCUGCGACCCUAAUAGCCGACUCUUCUGUCAGGCGCCAUUCCAUUGUCCCGGUCUACGGCGUCCACUCCACCCAGGUCAGGAAUCAAAACAGCUAUUUUUUCACAUCCAAGGCACAGCGUCUUUGACCUGGCCCUUGCCUAACUGGGUUCUGGUUUCAUCGUGGUAUGGUUUGUUUUGGUUUAACCGUGCAUCUAGAUUGGUUUGAUUUGGAUUUAGGAGGGUGAUUGGUGGGGUGGGGCUGUCCGAGGUUGACGUUAUUUCGCAGAGAAGUUCGGUGUGGCUUUGGUCCGGUUUUGGGACCAUUAGCAGCUUCAGUUGCUAGGGUCUUUGAUCGAUUUUGGAAAAAUGAGACAGGAUUGGACCAAUCGUGUAGAGUAUUGGUUCUGUAUAUACGUUCCCUUGCACUGGAAUGAUGCCACAGUGAUCCUACAUUCCUACUUGUUCUGUAGUUCUCUAUAUUGCCAAGAUUGACAUGUACUGAGGCGUGACGAAUAGGCAAUCCUGGUUACAUACAGAUUUAAUGUAAUGGUUGAGGAAAAAAAAGAGAGAACUGUUUCUGAAGGUGCUAUAGCUGACAUUAUUCUUCCUAGAGUUACUAUCUGCCUGGAGCCUGGAGGUAGCAAAUGUGAUACUAGUCGUAACAUUUUCUCUACUGAUUUUGUCAAUUGUUCUAGGAUAUUUUUAGAUGGUAAUAUUCAAUUAUUAGAGUGACGGUGUGCUCUUUUUUACUAUUCUAUAAGCAUUUUUGCAUGUACAGUUUCCAAAUGGCUAGUGAGGACUCGAAAGAUAUGCUGAAGAAUGUGGACUGGAAGACAGUGGGCGGUGCAGUUACCACUGAAUCUAGCCAGCCGGUCAUCAAAAAGCGCCUUCCAAAGAAGAUCAGGCAAGUCCCUGAGUGUUAUUUUCUACCUCGGCGAUCUUUGCCUUCUGCAUUGGCAAUCUACGGUGCCGUGUGCGCUGCUGGUGUUGGUGCAGGAAUGCUACUUGAGGUGUGGAUAAACAAAAAGAUCAAAGGUACAUAGCAGGACAUACCGUUCAUUCUAUUUUCUUAAGGAUUUACAGUAGCACUAAGUUUAAAAAACUUGUGUUGCUUGUGUAUUUUGCAAAUAUUCCUUGCCUUAUUAGUUGCUGCGUGCAGAGGAUGGUGGCAUUAUCUGGGAGAUGGAUAAAUGAUGUGCACCACUCUUUGAUAUGGUUGAACUAGUUUUGGCACUAUGGUAAUUGCUAGCUCUGAAGUUCUAUGAUCAUCUUAAAUUGUAUAAGGAAUUAUCUUCACCCUGUUGUUCCAUAGGAUCUUUUGAGUUUUGACAUCAUGAGAAAGCAAACUCUGUUUUCCAGUAUGAAUUAGCACAUCCUUGUCUGUGUAUCCCUGGUUUCCUUGGGCACUCAUUAGACACAGGAAAUUGCAAAUAAUAAAAUCGCAGUGCAUUUUGAUUUGAUUAUAGGCUAUAGAGUGGUCAAUCUGAAUAUUUGCAUAGUGGUUGAGUUGCACGUUGCAUAUGAAAUCUGAUUGAUGGAUGCAAAAACAUGUCCUGUUGCGAUGAGCUAUUCUUCUGUUGAAUUUCAAUGCAUUUUGUGCCCUCUAUUUGGUGUCUUUCCUCAUAACAGAAGUACAGAACCCAUCAGUAGAGAUUUCAUCUGCUCUUGUUUUCCCUAUCCAUUACGAAAUAUUCUCGACAGUCUGCUAUUCUCCUCUUACGGAAAAGUGAUUAUUGUUCAUUUCAGAUGACUCCCUCCUUGUCCUUGGAAUGGCAACAUAAAGCCUACCUGUUGCAAGACGGCAAGACCCUUUGAUUGGUGUUUUCACACAUUGCAUCUACUGUAUGGACCUUUGCAUUCACACAGCUGGAAGGUGAAUAUCCACUGGUACCAGUAACUUGUAUGGACGUGUUUGUUGUAAAGGACGACCUCGCAACUUUUUCUCGAUUGGUGCAAUAUCUCACUCUUCCUCCAGGUCCUAUUGCCAUGAACUGUGCAAUGGUUUGUAGCAGCUCCGAAAAUAUUUACCAGCGGGCAUCAGGCAACUAGAAAAAGGGUAGGCAGCCCAAUCAAGCCCAUGUAUUGGCCCAGCUCGGCAGCAAACGUAAUCGGGCCAUCAAACGCGAUACACGGCGUCAGCGUCUCCGAGGUGGGCCCCACGUAACGCGCUUGAGGCUGAGCUAACUGCCAGCUUGGAUCCUUCUUCCUUCGUCUCACGGAUCCGAUAGGAAGAACUACGAAACCCAAAGCCCGCUAAGGCGAUAACUUAUCCCCAAAUUAACUGGCAGCAAAAAGCCGGUCGAUAACCUUGCCUUGCUUCCUCCGAGUCCCCAUCUCUUGAUCUUCCCUUCCUCCCUGCCGUUGCCGGCGAAAGAAACAAACGAGACAACCCCCGACGCCAAGGCGGCCGCCGGGAGACGAUCGCACCGGCGCCCGUCCGAUCCAAGCACGCGUAAGCCCCGCUGUUCAUCUUACUCGCUUUGUCCUACGUGUGAAGACGGUGUUAGCUCGCUCCCCCGCCGCGCCGUCCGAUCGCUCUGGUUUUGUUGGGGCUCGAUCCGUCGUGUCCGCGCUUGAAUCGAUCGCUGCUCUGUUAACUCGAUUAUCUCGCCACGCUGGGUGAUCGGCCGGCCUGCUUGUCUGCCCCAUCUAGGGUUCUGCAAUUGCUGUCGUCUCAAUCUCGUAUCUGUAUGUAGAGGUUAGGGUCCACGCACUUUGGGUGAUCACGCCCGUAGUCAUAUCUUUUUAGGGAAUACUUGAUGCUGUGCGGUUGUGUUGUGCAUCUGGGAUUAGUUUCAGUUGGAUCCCUUUUGGUUUCUUGGCGUAUACAGAUAGCAUUGCCAGCUCAUGGCUCAAUUCCAAUGCUUUGUGUCAAAAACGGAAUAUAACUUGAAUUUUUUUUUUGAAAAGAAUAACUUGAAUUUUAGGUAACGACAGUUUGGACAUCAGAUAUUGCUGUGCUUAAAAUGUCUAAAAUGAUUGCUUGCGAACUUCACACAAGAUAGCUAGAGUAUAUAACAAACAAAUGACAGUAUGAGCUUCUAAAUGUGAUGAUAAGAUCUCAGGGAUGUGUUGCAAUUUCCCCCCCUCCUUGCACCUCAUGUUUGGCAAUUUACGUGCAAUCACUUGCUUGCAGGUGGUCCCUUUUUUCUACUAUAGCCUCUAGAUGAUUCCAUGGGAACUCCAGAUGAAAUGAUGGCAUACUCUUCCCUGUCAAAAAUUGAUACCAGCCAGAACCAGAGAGCUGCUCUGUCCAAUGUAGUUGCUGGAAACAACUACCCGCCUCAGGAUUAUCUCUAUGAGCCAUCAUUUGAACCAGACUUCCCAGAGUAUGAUUCGAGGGACGAUCCGUUCACUCCGACACGAGCUAGUCCAAAAGUCAAUCUGAAGUCUGUUCUAGGUGGACUGGUUUCAAUCGUCACGGGUGCAAACAAGAGCGAGGACGAUGCAUCGCAGCAGCAAAGUUUCAGCACAGAUAUAUCGUUUCUUGGAUCUGGCAAUGAUGGUGACGUUGAUGUGCACCCAUCUGUCUGUGUUCCAAGUGCACCACCACUGCUUGAAGCAAAUGCUUUGCAAUAUAGUGCAUACAGGGAGGUGUUGCUAGCGGAUCCACCAGAGUGGUUGCCAGAUAGCUCUGCUAAUGCCUGCCUGCAGUGCAACUUGCCUUUCACAGCUCUGACUCGUGGAAGGCACCAUUGCCGGUUCUGUGGAGGUAUAUUCUGCAAAGAUUGCUCCAAGGGAAGAUGUUUGAUGCCCAUGAAAUUCAGAAUUCGUGAUCCUCAGAGGGUUUGUGAUGCUUGCUAUGAGAGGCUUGAUCCACUUCAGGGCCUAUUGAUCAACUACAAUAGCAACUCCAUGCAGCCAGCAAAACAUGACGUCAUGGAUUGGACAAGCACUAGAAGCUGGUUGAACAUGCCUGUUGGUGUAUCAAUGGAGUAUGAAAUAUACAAGGCUACAAACACAAUGAAGAAAUAUUGUCAGGUAUGUAUGAUGUUUUACUCAGCAAAGAGAUAUAACCUUAUAAUCUAUAGUUGAGAAAUGUUUCUGUUUUGGAAUAUGUAGGUUGCUAGGUUAAACCCUGAGAAGUCCAUCCCAUCAUCUAUUCUCAAGGGAGCAAAGGGACUUGCAAUUCUAACAGUCGCCAAGGCGGGUGCAGUUCUUACAUACAAAGUUGGCACUGGUCUUGUAGUUGCUCGCAGAUCAGAUGGAUCAUGGUCUGCCCCGUCAGCAAUUUUAUCUGUUGGACUGGGAUGGGGAGUGCAGGUAUUUGCCCCAUAAAUCUCAUAUAUGUUAGUGUGCAGACAGCAUCUAUAGCUUUUUAGACAAAUUAUCUUUUGCUUUUUCACCAGAAAAUAGAUGAACCUCAUUACUCAAUACAAAUAUGCACAUCACAUUAGUUAUGUGUUAGUUGUACAGAAGAAUACAAGCUACUCCUUACAUUUUGUAUUAAAAUUAGGGAAAGUGUUUAGAAGUAGACUUUGACCAUUACCCACACAAUAUAUUAUGAAUUGCUACAAAAUUGAUUCAUAUUAAAAGAUACGUGAAAUGUGAAUCUAUUGAUACACCUUUAAUUCAUGCAUAUAAUUUAUGUUUUUGUUGGUCAAAGUUUAUGGAGUUUGACCUUUUUCGAAUUCUAAUAUGUCUGAUACUUUGAAACGGAGAGAAUAGUUUCUAGUUGACUGGGUGAGAAACCCUAGCUUUCCUUUGCCUUCCUUUGCUGUAGUUAUGCAAAAAUGUCCCUAAAGUUACAAUGUGAUCCUAACUAUCUGCUCAUUUUCCAUUAAAAAGUAGCAUACCUAUCCUGCAAAACUUGUCUGAAAAUGCAUUAAAUUAUGGCCCUUCUCUUGACUGAGUGGCAGGUUAUAGAAAAGAGUUGAUAUUGGAACUAUGUAAUGAUUUGGAUGCUUCACUGCAUUUGUUGUGUGGAUCCUUAAAUUUCCAUUCAUGGUGACCUCUUUGUAUAUGCCAGAUCGGAGGAGAACUGACGGAUUUUAUCAUUGUGCUUCGUGACCGUAAAGCUGUUAAGGCAUUCAGCAGUCGCAUUCAUCUUUCUCUUGGGGCAGGAUUGAGUGCUGCAGCAGGGCCAAUAGGCAGAGCCUUUGAGGCAGAUGUUCGGGCCAGCGAAAAAGGUUCCGGAAUAUGCUACUCCUACAGCUGCAGCAAAGGUAAUAAUCUGAACAUUGGUUUUAUAUUUUGCCACCAUUUUAGGUCCAAUUCUGAUUAUGUUGUCAAGUAGGAUAUGUUUUAUUAGUAAAAAGAAGGGAAAAAAAAAGGACUCACCUCUGUAUUUUUUGUAAGGUAAUAAUGUACUAUCCAUAGUUAACAUUGAGACAUCCAUGCAGCAACAAAACUUCCUUACCUCUGAUUGGUACAAUGUAGCAAGUUCGUGACAAGCUAUCUUAAUCUAUCCUGAAUACACUUGAUGUCCUAAAAACUUGUAAACAGGUGCGUUUGUUGGGGUUUCACUGGAAGGGAACAUUGUGACAACCAGAUCAGAGACCAAUCUUCGUUUCUACGGCGACGCUUACCUGACCACAACCGAUAUCCUGUUUGGGAGGGUGGAGAGGCCCCGAGCCGCCCAGCCCCUGUACUCAGCUCUAGACGAUCUGUUCUCCAAAAUGGUCUGCUAGUUCAUUUAGAUUGGUGCGAUACGCUGCUGCAUGCCUCGGUUGUUAGCUUGCAGCCAUGUACAUAAACAUAACAUGUCAGGAAAAUCCUAAAAAAAUAAAAGAUGCCAGGAAAAAAAUGUACAGCUUUUGUUGGAUGGGUUUCACUUUCACUACUGAUAUCAGCAGACACUUGUAAAUAUUGGCAGAAUAUUUGGUACGCUGCCGUGUGCCGUUGUGGACUCAUUCACGCAAUGGAAGACUGAUAGAUUUGUUGGUUAGUUUGUGAUUAGAGUGUUUGAGCACAUGAUGAGUAUAUGUGCGUUUAUUCUGUAGCAACUCGGUGCUGGUGGAGCCAGUUCGCCGUACUCGUGUGACGGCGCCGUGGCACUUAGCACUGUGGAUUGUGGAAUGUACAAUAUUUGUUGCUCGUUCUCAAUGCAUGUAGCUAUGUACAGACCAUCGGAAAGGAUGCUUUUUCGCUCACCUGUCUCCAGCAAUCAAAUCGAAUAUCCAACACACCUGUACACCUUAAUUUUUGUUUGUUAAUAUAUAUUUGUGGAUAGCGGAAUGCCGGAAUUAGUAGUUGAAGACUAACACAAGCAAUUCGAGAAAGCAGCAAUUGUGGGAUUCGUUCAUGCAGUGGAAGACUGAUAGAAUCGAUCUGUCAGCGAUGGAGUUUCUAAUUGUAUUUCAGCACAUGCUGAGUCUGUAGCAACUCUGACGGAGCAUUUCACCGUAGCCUGCUUCGCAUUCACGUGGGGAGCAUCGACGCAACCGCGCCUGGAGGAACAAGAGGCCGUCACGUCCAAUCUAGCAAAGAUUCCUCGGCGUGCCGUCCGUCUUGUCAAAAACGAAACGAUCUUUUGCUUCGUACUACGGUCUCGUGUCAAGGUUCCUCGGUCUCCAAGGAACAAUAUUUGGCAGUAAACGAUUAUGUUAGGUUAACAGAUUCCUCGCGACACAAACAAAUGGCAUGUUGGUCCUCCCGUCAAUAUAAUUACGUUAGUCGCUUCGUCUUUUAAUUUGCUUCUGCACCACUUGGUCUCGAUGGAAAUGCUGGGCGUGGCAUAGAGGAUAUCUUCUUUCAUUCAGCAAGUUGCGUAUGGUGCUGUCAGCAUUUGCAAAAGGCACUCAAGUUCUACAGCAGGAUUUUUCACUUCAUUGUGGCAUUCAGGGGUAACCGUGCAAGCUGAACAGAUAGAGUUGAAUUGGAUGAUAAUCACAAGCUCUUGAUACAGAAAGAUUUCCAGAAUCACAUACACCUCAAUGGUGUUGAUACUUGAUAGAACAAUGAUUGGGGGGAAAGAAGAGCAUGAUAAUGAAGAAAGCACAACAGUUAAACAUGUCUCUCAGCUCACAAGUUCAGCAUGCACCACGCUUGCGUAUUCCAACUGGAAAGGAUUAGGAAUCAUCUUGGAGUAGCAUCACACGUCAACAGAGGUAUAUCACUGCAAUCACCUGAAAUAAUGCCUGGUUUUUUCCCUCAGCCCCUGGGCCUGGUGUCGUCAAUGUAAGAGAAUAGCAACUCUUAGGAAAAUUGACAGAAAAAAUGGACAUCUCGAUUGCUUAUGUGGGUGAGGGCGCUUACAAGUUGAAACAGUGAUUUCUUCAGCCUGCUGUGUCUCAGUAAACACCACUGUCCAUUGGUACAUCGUCGAAACUCCAGAGACCUCCGAUGUUCACGCCAUCCUGAGCCACCUCACCGUUGAAAAGAGCGUCAAUGUUUUCAUACGAGUUGCCUUCAAGGUAAGGUAACUGCAUAAAGUUCGGGUAAGGCUCAUAAUACGCAAAUUCAUCCGCAAGCCACACUUCGCCAUUGCCAAAAACCAUAUCUGCCGUCACCCCAUUUUCAUGAUCAGUUUCUUCAGUUGUUUCUUUCCCACCAGCUUCAAGGUACUUCGAUCCAUCAAGUUGAUUCAGCUCGAACGCAUCAAGCCAUGCGCUGGACAUUGGUAGUGGAGAGUCUGACUCUGACAACUCAAUCUUGACGACUGUGGCAUCAGUACUGCUGCCUGCUGAGAUGGCAUGUUCAGAGGCGCUGCUGAACUUCAGGCUCUCUUGUGACAUAACCUUCUUUGCCGGUCGAGGCACACGUCCUGGAAGCCGUUUGGCAGACGCUGUGAUGGUGUCAGGGAAGUUCACCUUGGCUUUCUUGCCGCGUAUGCGUCGGGCUGCCACGUCGUAUGCUCUUGCGGCCUCCUCAGCGGUGUUGUAGGUGCCAAGCCAGACUCGGACGCCCUUGCAUGGGUCUCUGAUUUCAGCUGCCCAUUUGCCCCAAGGGCGCCGCCGGAUCCCCCGGUACUGGGUCUUUCGCUUCCUGCGGGCGACUUUGGCAGUAUGGUCGUUGAAUUUCAUGAAAAUGGAACUGUUUAUUUGAAAAUCUGCAUCCAAGAUGAUAAAAAAAACACAGGUUAAGGUGAAAGAGAAACCCCAAUUUUGUUCCCUCUAUGAUUACAACAAAUAUAUGCUAUAUGCUCCAUAACUAGAAAACAACAAAUAUUCCAAUUCUCAAAGCUAUAUGCUGGAUCUCCUGUUGCAUUGAUAACCAUAUGUAAGGAUAUGAAACCAUGACAAGCAAGGUACAACAAAACCUAUUCGAAGCAUGGCAUCAACAUGAAAUCAAAAGCAUACACCAAAGGAACAAAACAGGAGCAACAUAAUCAAGAACCCAAGAGAGAAAAUAACAGCAAGAACUAAAGGAUAAGAAAACAAGGAUGUCCUAAUUAUGAACCUUUUUCCUCAUGUCCAAAAUCCACCUCCUCCACGCUACUGCAAUCCUCGAAAUCCUCAAAAUCAGCCUCAAAGUCGUCGUCAUCGGCUUCAUCAAACUCCCAAGAACUCCUUUUCUGGUUCUUUCCACUCCUUCUGCUACCACUCUCUGCCCAUAGGUCACCAGCAGUGACCGUGCGCCUCACUGGUGAAUAGAGAUCACUGAGAAUGGCCCCUCCACACAUGGCGUUAGUUUUACCCAAGGAUCUGACAAUGGAGAUGGGGGAUACAGGGGUGGGUGGUAGCUUUUGCUAAUGGCUUAGUGCUGUUAAGUUUGUGCUUGCAUAUUUGUGCUGCAAUAGGCUUGCUCUAGGUGAGCUAAUUGCAUGUAAUAUAUACUAGUGGCAUUAGAGUAGUAUGCAGUACUAUAGUGCAAGUGGAGUAGGUGAGUGGACAAGUUGGCAUUGGUGUGCCAGGAAGCAAAUGUUCUGCAUUGGAAUAUAUGUGGGUGCAUGAACCAAAUGGAGUACCUGGACAACACGAAGAGAUGUUUAAUCUUCUGUGAACAAGUUGGCAACUUGUGAUAAGUGCAAUGAGCCAAAGGUAUAAAAUCUGUUUUGAUUUGCCAUCACAGUGGUAAUUACACACAAAUAAAAGGUUGAGUUGCUGCUGCUUUUGUUCAUUCGAAACUCAAGUAGGUAAUGCCUGGUAUUUUUCAUGGAUUUUCAGUAAUUUGCUAUUAACAUAACAAGUAGAAUGAUUCCAUUUGUCAAUUAAGCAAUAGGUAGACUUUUGACGCAGAAGGCUGCCAAUAGGCAAAAGAACAUGUCGAUUUUUUUUUAACAAAAUAAGCACUAUGCCAAGUACACUGAAUAAAAUAUAAUGAAAACUGACAGAAACUUAUCAUUCUCAUGGCCACCGUAUGGAAUUGUUGGAUGUAGAUACCUGUCUGAAUAACUGUGUGGAAUAUGUUUCCCUUUUAUUUUAACAUUUUUCUAUUUGGUCCUCAGUCAUCGCAACGUCUAUUAGUUCUAUCAUCCUAUCUUUUAUCCUUCUCCGGAAUACUUUUAUUCGCAAGUAUCACUAAAAUGUCCUACAUAACCCUUCCAUGCAAACUGAAAGAUUAUGCUAUCAUGAACCUGAAGUUCUAGAGUCUCAAAUAAAAAAUGGACCAUCCAAACAGUAUAGAUUUCAUCAACACGUGAUUAAAUACCUCAAGACCCCCGCUACUAGAUCUGACUGCUUUCGCGCCUACGUCCCAAGAGGUGUUAAAUAGCACAAUUAGCUGAGAGGAUUCAGUCAACAUUACCGAUAGAACUGACACAACACAACUAUAACCAAACACAUACCAGAAAGGCAGACAUGGACAGGCUAAGGAGACCAACAGGAAACAAAAUGGUUCAAUUGGCAUAAAACACAAGUCUCCUUGACCAAGCAGAUAUUCAGACUUACACCCGGUCCAGUCAGAGUCUGAACCCACAAGCCCAAAAUCAAAUUACGAUGGCAGGCGGCAGUCCCAGGUCAUCCUCAAGACCUCAACCAUGCUUCUCAGAACCUGUCAAACAAAACGCAUAACGCAAUUUAUAGAACGCACGAAUGAGGAAUGUAUGCUGUAUGCACGAGUACAAGGGCCGAGCCAUGAGUCGCCCACCUCGCCGUGCUCGAUUGUAAGAACGGGUCCUCUAGCUCAAUGCCCACCCAGACGACGCGAAAUCCUUGUAUCCUCCACCUUCCUGCCAAACUUCCUCCCUCCCUCCCUGACCCUGAGGCCCGUCAGGGCGUCAAUGGAGGUGUUGGGGACGAGGGCGGCGUCCUCAAAUUAUGGCAGGGGUGAUCACCGGCGGUGGAUUGACGGGACCGUGCAGAGGAAGUGAAAUAUGCUUCAGUCCGGGCAACCCAUUAGAGAGGCGGCGUAACGCCGGAGGGCAUCGCCGGCGGCGGCGGUGAGAGGAGGAACUGGAAGUCUGGAACUGCGUUCACUGGGGUCGGAGAUGAAUUGGACCAUGUGAUACUAAAUAGUUCAAGGUAUGUUUCCGCAAAAGUUCCCCACGUUGAUAGCCUUCGAUCUCAGCCGUGUAACCAUAAUUCGACGGAGAUCGGUGGGCUGAUUAGGAUCACGAUUGAUCCAUUUUUAGGGACGUAAACGGAAAUAUUGGAUUGUACGACGGCCGUACCAGAAAAGCUCAUCCACAGUCAUUCCUCGGUGAAAUUUCCCAAUUUCCUUUUCCCUUUCUGAAUUGAGAAUUGAGAGGUCGGCGAAAAUUUCCUUCCACCGAGGCGUGCAAGCACGAUGCACGAACCAACGGUCCAAUGUGCGAAAUCGCGGCCCUUCUCUGGCCCGGAUGCUUCCAGCGCCGCCGCCGUUCGCCGUCGCCGAGAGGGUGGAACCGAUUCACCUUCCAGCGAGGAUAGCAGCCUCCGAGACGGGCUCUUCUCGGGCGGAAGGAUGAGCCGUCAGCCGUGUGCCUCGGCAUAACUCACUGCUAGAACUAGUAGCCUGGAACCGGCGGGGCGGAUGGAGUGGCUCCGGGCCGACGCUCGUGCGAGCUCAGAGUCCGUUGGUUCGUGCUGAAGACAAUCAGGUAUCGGGGUUGUUAGCUCUGUCUUCUCGCAUUCACGCGCGCUUCUAUUAGUUCUCUAUGCUUUGAUUCCUUUGCUGCAUGCGUCGGAACUGUUUGAUGUAUUUCCUCACUGGGUUCGUGCCGCGCUCUACCACUCCACUAUGGAGUGAUCGAGAUAGAUAGGUUCAAAUGUAGUGAGAUGCUCUGUUCUGGAUUAUAUUAGUCGAAAUGCUUUAGUAGUUGUACUUAUUUGUUCGCAAGGAUUUUAGCAGUCAUACUUAUUCGUGCAUGCAGCAUGCACAUCAAUAUCUAUCUAAUGCACUAGUUUUUAAAUUACCUGCAAAUUGUUUUUCUGGUGGCGAUGAGAGAGGGAUUAUUUAUGCCAAAAUUAUGUAAAGCCACAUGUAUCUUAGCAUACAGACCACAGAUCUGAUAUUGAUAUGUGAAAGCCAAAUAAGACCGAGAUUUGAGAUCACUUCGAACAGUAAUCUAUGUUAUGCUCUAAGUACUAAAAAUGCUAUAGAGGUGAAAUUUGCAUUAAACUUCACUUUUAGUUCUCUAACAGCACCACAACAGAUAAACCUUAGAUGCAUCAUGCUCGUGCACAUGGCCCAAUCCAAAUACCAGCGCAUACAUAUACAGAUCGAAUAACACACAGUGUAAAAGGUUUGCUGAAAGAGACGUGCUGAACAAUAUGAAUCUACACACAGGUACGGUUUGCACCGUAGACUCAAAACAUAGACAGAUAGUGGUCCUUAUGGAAGUUAGACCAGUGGCCUGUUGUAAUUGGCUUCUAGCAUUAAACGGAGGCGGCUCACCACUUCUGUGAAAGUUGGUCUUUUCUCAGGCUCGUUUGACCAGCACUGCUCCAUGAGUUCCCUCCAUUGGGGAUCACAUGAUACUGGUAUUGGUGGCCUCAAUGUGUUGCUCAAAAUUCCUCCUGCAAAUUUUCAGUUUGUGAUCAGGAACGCAGAUAGUGUUAGAGCAGAGGAUAUCCUUUAUAAUAACUUCAUAAUGUUUUAAGCAAACCUAUAACUCCUCCAUGGUGCAUGCCAGCAUAUGGCUCCUCGCCCGUGAGUAUUUCCCACAUUAUGAUUCCAAAAGAAUACACAUCAACCUAUCAUAGUGUCAGAUAAAGGCACAUUUAAUUGUAGAUAAUACAGAUAACUAAGUCUGAAGAAUUAGUUUUCUUUUCUUCUUCACUUAAGCAACUUGAAUAUGCAGAAAUAGCUGAGGCGAAACAUAACCCUCCUGAAUAACAGAGUUAGUCAACUCAAUUAUCUUAGUACCAAAAUCACAAUUCAGUUGUUGGUUUUCAGCUUAUUGAGUGCCAUAUGAGAAACACAGAUAAUGCCACAGCGCAUGUUCUGCUUUGUAAUACCAUUAAUUUUUGGGGUCAUCAAGAUAGGUUGUGAGUACUACCUUGGUUGAUACCAUAUUGCUGCUCAUUUCAAGCAUUUCAGGAGCCAUCCAUGGAAGAGUUCCUCUCAUUCCAACAGAGACCAUUGUAGUCUGUUUCACCUUGGACAAACCAAAAUCAGCUACCUGCAGUCAAGUUUACCGGUUGCUUUAUUUCAGCUCACAUGGAAAGGAAGGGGCCAUUUAUACAUUUCUUCUGACUCAUUUUAUACCAACACAAACAUUAUAUUGAUGGAAAGGUGGCACACCUUGCAUAUGGGACGAGAUGGAUCAUUGAGAUUCACCAGCAAAUUAUCACACUUCAGAUCGAAAUGAAUUAUAUCUUUGGAAUGCAAGUAUUCCAUUCCUAUAGCCACAUCCAUAGCAAGAGUUAUCCGUUUACGCCUGUCCAGAAAUUUUUCUUUGCGCAGAAGGACUUUCUUGAGGGAUCCGCUGGCCAUGAAUUCUGUCACAGUUGCUAAUGUCCCCCCAGGUCCAUUAUUCACAAUCCCGUAGAAUGCCAGCACAUUAGGAUGGUGAAGUUUCGAGAGGAUGGCUGCUUCUCUCCAAAAUUCUACAAUCUGCGUGAUAAAAUUUGUAAUUGUUUUAUGAUGAGCAAAGGCUAGUUCACUAGAUCUUGGGACACUGAUCUAUUCUAGUACUAACUGCUAAGUCUCCAUUGUGAUUGUGACUCCAAUUUGUCAUGUGAUUUUAAGCAACUAACCAGUUUAUCUGUCUCAGAUGAUGGAUACAUGAAACAGCUAUUCUUUAUCCGUUUGAUGGCAACAUCUGUUCCCCUCCAUCUUCCAUGAAAGACAGUUCCAAAUGCACCAGAGCCCAUCUCCUGCAGAUCUUCGAGGUCCUCGUUGCUUAUUAUCUGAUGUGUAAGUCAAAUAAACAAUCAAUGUUACAUUGUGGAAAAUCAUGUGCAAUGAUGUGAUUGAUUGAUGAUUCCUUGUCCAGAACUGCAAAUUACUUGUACUAAAGCUUUUUUGUUCCUUGUUUUUCUUCUGUCCGUAUAUUUUCCUAACAGUACUCUUGCGGUGUAAGUUAUUCUACACAUUUUUUUUACUGAAAUUUUUUUAUGUUGAAUGUAUGAGGGGCAAGAUGGUCAUUUCAGAUGUCCAGGUAUAAAAAAAGAAAAAAUGAAAUAAAAAGAGAAAAAUGGCAUGAAAAUAAAAGUGCCAAUGUCAUUGUUGGCAAUCUGGUGAAUCCAUUCUUUGUAGUGACAAACUAGCGAAGUCCAACGUUCAAAGACCUACAAUGGCAAAAAGCUCGGGGUGGGGAUCCCCACAAGAUACUAUGCAGAUUCUUGCAAAAUAUAUAGUUCUGAACUUCUCAUUGAACUAAUGACUUUGCAGUU
rnacentral:lncRNA from 1 species